AUGGAUCUGGGAUGUUUUCUAUUUUGUUGGAUCCUCUAAAUUAUAUUCUUUCCUCGGUAUUGAGCGACUGCAACCUGAAGGUCGAUACACCGCUGAUCAGCUGCAACUCCAGUCUCCCUGCUGUGGGUGGCCUCCUAUCACCCUUACAGUUCAUCGGGAACACUGCUCUAGGAGCCCUCCUGAGUGUUGCAAACAUCAUCCCUGCCGGAUUCCGAUUCGUGCCUUUAAAUUAAGGAGACCACUGUAGCUGAAGGCGGCAUUAUUAUUAUUAGUAUGGCCAUUGCUAUGUACUACUUUAUAUGAAUAAGGCCGUUGUAAUAAAGGAAUAAAGGUCAUGAUUGGCCAUGCAUAAUCUACAUGUAAUAUAUUAGCGAGUCUAUAUUGUGAUGGGCCUUACUAAAAAAAUAUAGUAAUUCGAUGCAAAUAAAACUAAAACUUGUUGCUAAAAACAUUUAGCAACAUAAUUAGCAUCACAUGAAGUAUUAUAUGCAGACUUGUUGUUGGUGAUUUUUCAGGAAUGAAUUUGUCCGUUGUUGAUUUAUCAACAAUGAAUUAUGUGUUGCUCACAAAUUAGCAAUGGAUUUUCCGUUGCUAAUAAAUCAGAAGAAUCUGUUGCUGGUUGAUUAGUACUUAAAAGUAUAUUUUUAUCAAGGUUUUAUAUCAUCAUUUUGCACUAGAAAUAUCAAUAACUCUUUAACUAAACCAUGUUUUAUAAUAAUAAUAUAAGAUACCUUUAAUUUAUGGUAAAUGUUCAUCUUAAAUGCAGACCUAUCACAUAAAUGAAAGGAUUGAUUGAUGAGUUUAAGUAUUGAAAUUGAAAGGACAAAGAGAGGGCCAAACUUAGAAAAGAGAUGUUGGUGCCGUCCAAACUGGAACACUGUUCGAUAUUUAGCCCAUAUCUCGAGUUCUAGAAGUCCAAAUGACCUCAAUUUGUUUCCUGGUAGAUAAGACAAUUUCUUAGAACUUUCAUGGGUACAGGUGGUUCUAGUUCUAAUGUUAGCAAUGACGUUUUAUUCAGACAAGAAGAUAAAGAUUUUCACCAAGUCAAGAGUUGGCCACCCACUCAACAAUUAGUAAUCAAAUCAAUAGUUUCAAAUUUUGGCCUAUAAAAGGAGGCAUUUGCCAUGCAUUUAGGUAUCUUGGUGUUCAUAUCAAGAUCAUGCUCUUGCUCUUUUUUUUUUUUUUUGUAUUUUGUAAUGUUUAAGUUUUAUUUUAUGUUAUAUUAAUCUCUUGUUUAUGCUUUUCCUUUCCUUUCCUUUACUUAUAUAAUUUUAUUCUUAUCUUGUUUAUUUAUGUUUCUUUCUUUCAAUAUAUUUAUCUAAAUCUAUUAUGUCAAGGUGAAAAGGUUACACUAAUAGUGUAAGAAUAAGUAUAGUAUAAAUUCAACAUGCACUUUAAUGCUAGAUACUAAUAUGUUUUAUAUUUAUUAUCUUGCUUACUCUUAAUACCUUACUUGUUAAAUGGUUAAUCUAGAUUUGUGUUGAACAACCCUUGGUACAACAAAUGCUUGGCACUUUCAUAGCCCAAUCAUAUGGUAUAACCUACACGUGUGCUAUGAAAGAAUUAGAAUUAAUUGAGAGAUAGUUUUGUGUUUAAUUGUGUUGGAUGCAUAAGAGUAGCAGCCAUCCUUUGUAUUUAUACUUGUAGGGUUGUGUACAAUAUAAUGGUGGGAUGUAUUACAUACUAUAACUAUUACUAUGUAGAAGUGUUUACAUUGAAUUCAAACUCUUUCCUUAAUACACCCCGUCAAUCUGAAGGUGGAGAUUCCACCCGAAGCUUGGAUCGAAAAUAAGCAAACGAGACUGGAUCGAGGAAGAGGCUUGGUAAGGACAUCAGCUAGUUGAUCUUUGGAAGAUAUAAACCGUACCUGAAUUUCUCGCUUAGUAACACGAUCACGGACAAAAUGAUAAUCAACUUCAACAUGUUUAGUACGAGCGUGAAAUACUGGAUUUGCAAUAAGAAGGUGGCCCCUAAAUUAUCACACCAUAACGUGGUCACAGUCGAAGAAGGAAUCUGAAGUUCUGUCAAUAAUGAGCGAAUCCACAAAAUCUCAGCAGUACCAUCAGCUAAGGCUUUGUAUUCCGCUUCAAUGGAGGAUCUCGCAACAGUGCAUUGUUUCCCGGAUUUCCAGAGAUAGGGGUAGAGCCAAGGUACACAAGGUAACCACCUGUGGAUUUUCGAUCAUCAAUACUACCUACCCAAUCAGCAUCUGUGAAACCAUGAAGAGACAGAGGAGAAUCCCUAGUGAUGUGCAGGCCAUAAGUUGCUGUAGCCUGGAGGUAACGCAAGAUGCGUUUGACAGCAAACCAAUGAUCCUCAGUGGGGGCAUGCAUAAAUUGACAGACCUUGUUGACCGCAUAACAGAUAUCAGGUCUAGUGAAGGUAAGAUAUUGUAAUGCCCCAACAAUUUAUCGAUACCGUGUGGGAUCAGAGUAGAGAGUACCUGGUAUGAGUCCUAAUUUGGAGGAGGCAGAUAGAGGAGUAUCAACUGGUUUGCAUGAAGUCAUACCUGCUCGUUUGAUGAUAUCGAGAGCAUACUUAUGUUGGCUUAAUAAGAUACCCAUAGCAGUAGGUUUAACUUCAAUGCUUAAGAAGAAAUGAACAGAACCCAGAUCCCGAAGCUUAAAUUCUGAUUGCAGCAAGGUAAUCAAUCUAUGAAGCAUAGCUGAGUUACUUCCGGUUAAUAAGAUAUCAUCAACAUACACAAGCAGGUAAAUCAUGGCACCAUCAUGAGAGAGGAUAAAUAGAGAAGUAUCACCCUUGGAUGCCUGAAAUCCAAUGGAUAGUAAGAACUCACUCAACCUGUUGUACCAAGCACGAGGGGCUUGUUUCAAACCAUACAGAGAUUUAUGGAGACAACACACAUGAGACGGGAGUGCCGGAUCAACAAACCCAGGCGGUUGCGCCAUGUAUACCUCUUCCUGAAGAAUGCCAUUUAGGAAAGCAUUAUGGACAUCCAACUGAUGAAUGGUCCAUCCAUAUGAAACAACGAUAGUGAGCACAAGGCGAACCGUUGUAGGCUUGAUCACUGGACUGAAUGUCUCCAAAUAAUCAAUCCCUUCUUGCUGAGUGAAGCCGCGGGCAACUAACCGUGCCUUAUAUCGGGCAACUUGACCAUCAACAUUUCUUUUUAUCUUGUACACCCAUCUACUGCCAAUCACAUUCAUAGUUGGAUGAAGAGGCACCAACGUCCAAGUCUGAUUAGAGUGAAGUGCCCGAAGUUCCUCCUGCAUGGCAGUGUCCCAAGUAACAUACCUGUUUGAGUCCUUAAAGGACAAUGGCUCCUGCUGAGGUAAGGUCGUGUCUCGUGAGACAGCCGCAAUGCUAAGAUUAGCAUUUCUUUCUGGCCGUGGGCGAAGCACCAUAGGAUGGGUGCGAGCCCGCUGAGAUGGGGAGGAGACAGCGGCAGGGACAUGCUGAAGAUUGAAUUUAGAUAGAUCAACACAUACGUUAAUUCCAGGAGGGGAAAGCGAGGAAGAACCUGUGGGUGAAGAACUCAAUAUAGGAGAAGACCGUGAUGGAGACCCAGCAGAAGAAGUAUCCAUAACAGGGGAGAAACCAUGGAGCUGGCAGCAACAUCGGAUGAUGCUUGUGAGUGUGACGAAUCUGAACCUGCAAUUGAAGAAUGAUCAUAAUAACAUGCAGAUAAUGGUAAAGUAGCCGAAGGAGGUGUAGGCAGUGAUUUAGAGAGUGAGGAGGGUUGCAUGAGAGGAAGUAAAGUGACGGGUAGAGAGGGAGCAGAGGGCUGUUUGGGUGUUGCUGCAAUCUGUUCAAUUUUAUCAAGAGGAAAAACAGUUUCAUGAAACCGGACAUGACGUGCAAGAUAAAUUCGUUUGGAUGACAAAUCAAGACAACGAUAACCGACAUGUGAGGUACUAUAUCCUAGAAAAACACAAGGUGUGGACCAAAAAUCUAAUUUGUGAGCAUUGUAUGGACGAAGAAAAGGAAAGAAGAGACACCCGAAAGUACGAAGAAAUGCACAAUCAGGAGUCGAUUUUAACAGACAUUCAAACGGUGUCUUAUUAUUAAGGACUGGAGUGGGCAUGCGAUUAAUUAAAUAAACAGAACUUUCAAAAGCAUAACUCCAAUAUUUAAGGGGAGCAUGACACUGACCAAGGAGAGUGAGUCCAGUUUCAACAAUAUGUCUAUGACGGCGUUCAACCAUGCCAUUUUGUUCAUAAGUGUGCGGGCAGAUCACACGAUGAUGAAUACCAAUCAUUUUAAAAUAUGUAUUUAGUUUUUGGUAUUCACCACCCCAAUCAGUUUGAACAAACUUAAUUUUUAAGGAGAAUUGGCGCUCCACAAGCGCCUGAAACUGAUGAAAAAUUGCAAGGAACGUCAUACUUAGCAACCAAGGGAUAAAACCAUAUGAAUUUUGUAUGAGCAUCCACAAAAAUAACAAAAUAGCGAAAACCAUCAGAUGAAAACAUAGGGGAUGGACCCCAAACAUCACUAAAAAUCAAGUCAAGAGGAGCUCGAGUUUGAUGACCCGUAGGUUUUAGAGUCAGACGCGAUGACUUGCCUAGAGGGCACGUAGGACACUGAAAAUUAAACUUAGUGGACAUACAUGACACUUUUUUAUUUUUCACUAGCAAAUGCAAAAUACGUGGACUAGGAUGUCCAAGUCAACGAUGCCAGACAUCAGCUGAAGUAGAUAGACAAGUAGAGGAAAAAGCUUGAGGCAACGAUGUUGCGGACGUCGCGGACAAAACAUAUAGACCAUCUUUACUCUGACCGGAAAGAAGAACUGCCUUUGUCAUGAGAUCCUUAACAUAAAAUAGAGAGGAAUGAAAUUCAAAAAACACGUUAUUCUCAAGAAAAAAUUUUUGAACAGAUAUCAGAGGUUUUUUAAUGGUAGGAACAUGUAAGAUAUUGGAUAACGUAAAAAUGCGGUUUGGUGAGCGAAUUUUGGAGUGAGCAAUAUUUGAGAUAACAAGGCCCUUACCAUCACCAACAUGCAGAUGAUCAUUUCCAAGAUAAGGUUCUGAACUCGUCAUACUUACAAGAUCCGGCGUGACAUGAUGAUUUGCACCUGUAUCAGGAAACCAAGUAACAGGAGUGGUGGAAGGGGCAGUAUUAAAUGCAAGAUUAGCAUUAGCUUGCAUAUGAUGAGUAGCCAACUGAGAACACUGUUGAGCAGUAUGCCCAUAUUCAUAACAUAGCUGACAUUUUAUGUUGCGAGGAUAGCCACCAAAACGAUUUCUUGCUGCCCAAAAUUACCUGUUGGCCGUGAAGAAGAGCCAGAUGAGAACCGGUUCCCAUGUGAGCUGUAUUGUUGUCCUGAAGUAUAAGUGUUUGCUAGUCCAUUGCCACGAUAAAAAUUGAAUGCGAUUGUUAGGUCUCCAACCCCCACGAAAACGCCCCCGUCUGCCAGAUUGAUGCUGCACAAAGAACGCAGCUGGUUGCUGCGUUGGAGUAGGUAAUAGAGGGGCUGUUACAGAUGGCUGGAGGGAGGCUUUGUGAAGGAACUCAUGUGUAAGAAGGCUACUAUGGAGAUCAGUAUAGCUGAUGGGGGCAUCAUUUGUGGAGAAGCCGGUGACAAGAUCUUUAAACUCACUGCGCAAUCCGCGAAAAACAUACAGAUUAAAUUCUGCCAGGGAGAUUGGUCUACCAGCGGCAGCCAAUUCAUCAAACAAAGCCUUAGCCUUCUGGAGGUAAAUGCUGGCAGAAUCAUCAUUCUGUCUUAGGUCCUGGAAUGAGCCGUGGAGCUGCAUAAUUCUGGAAUUUGAGGGAGAGGCCAGAGCUGUUUCUAACGUUGUCCAGAUUGCAUGUGAAGUGUUGCAAUCUACAACCAAGUGCAGAACUUCGACCGAGAGAGAAGAUAGGAGGGCACUCAUGAUGAGGUGAUCUUGCUGCUUCCAUGAUAAAAUAUGCCGGGUUGACAGAGAGUAUAGAUGGCUCAGCCGAUGCCAAAUGUGAAGGAGGACAUGGUGAUGUGCCAUCAACAAAUGAAUAAACACCUUGGCCCAAGAGAAAAGGUUUCAUCUGCAUCCUCCAAUACAAGAAAUUAUGGUUGGAGAGUUUUAAAGAAACUACCUGAUGUGUGUUAGGAAGAGAGAUAAUGGAGGCAGUAGGCGAUGCCCCAUACAUGACUGAUUGCUCUACAGGGGAGAAGGAAGAUUGAAGAGCUGAUACAGCGCCAGCAGAUUGUUGAUUGUCCAUGUUGCUAGGGAGAAGAAGUUUCAGUUUCUACUUCGUGAUAAGUGACAGAGGAAGGAGAUGAGAAGCUGCUGCUUUGUGAAUUAAACUGAGGAAGAACCGGCUGCUAAGAAGAUAGGAUGGCUGCUGGUUGCCAAAUAGCUACGCAGGAGAAUUUCAGCUUUUAAGGGAGAAGGCUGCUGAACAAUAACCGGUGCUCUGAUACCAAAUUAGAAUUAAUUGAGAGAUAGUUUUGUGUUUAAUUGUGUUGGAUGCAUAAGAGUAGCAACCAUCCUUUGUAUUUAUACUUGUAGGGUUGUGUACAAUAUAAUGGUGGGAUGUAUUACAUACUAUAACUAUUACUAUGUAGAAGUGUUUACAUUGAAUUCAAACUCUUUUCUUAAUAGAAAGGAAUUUAAUUUGUUGUUAACAUAAACUAUCACCAUGAAUACCUGAUAAUAUUUACAAGUAUUGGCAUUACUUGAAUAAGAUAAUUAAUAUAAUCAUGUUAAUAAUUUAUAAUCUGAUUGGAACCUCCUUUGUGUGUGGUUUUCAAUUGAGUAAUAAGAGUUUAUACUAUACUUGUUUGAAGUACCAUUAGUGGAUCCUCUAACCUUGACAUUUGUUUUUAUAAUUGUUUAAUCAUCAAAUUAAUCUUACAUCUCAAAGUCCUCUUUAUUAUUACUAUUACUAUUACUACUAUCAUUAUUAUUAUUAUUACUAUUACUAUUAUUAUUGUUGUUGUUGUUGUUAUUUAUAAUUUAUAUAGUUAACCUCUUUGUGGUUCGACCUCGGUCUUGCCGAGUUAUUUAUUACUUCGACACUCCUGCACUUGGGAGAAGACAUGAAUCUUUUGAUCGUGUCACUGGUUUUGUGAAUCAACCAUGGAUUUCCCAUUGAAUUAUUUACAAUCAGCAACGAAAAAUCCGUUGCUGAUUAUAUGAUUUUUAUUAAAUUAAUUUAUAAUUUUUAUCCAAAUGACUUUGAAUUUUUUAAUUAAUUAUUUAUGGAUAUUUUGAAAGUUGUAGAAUAUAUAUAAAAACAUAAAUUAAUAUUUAAAAUUACUUUAUCACCAAUAAUAAAUGGAAUAAAAAUAAAAUUCAUAAUAUAAGUAAAAAUUUAGUUAAAGUUGCACCAAAGCAAAUAAGUACAAAUACAAUAAAAAGAUAUAAUUAUGUGCUUUUUGUGGAGACGAACCAUGAUACUGUGGAUCGAUGUAAGAUGAAUUAUGAUAUGAUGGUCGAGGUAUAGGUCAAUAUAUUGGUGCAGAUGUGGGAUCCAUAUGUGUCAUUAUCUGGGGAGUUGUAUGUGGCGGCAUUGAUGGGGCCAUAGGUGCUGGCAUACCUUGGCUAAUGUUUGAUGUCCCACCAUGAUAUCCAAGAUUGUUCAUAUGAUAUUCUAAUAUUAUUACUAUUAUUAUUAUUAUUAUUAUUAUUAUUAUUAUUAUUAUUAUUAUUAUUAUUAUUACUAGUAUUACUAUUAUUAUUAUUGUUGUUGUUGUUGUUAUUUAUAAUUUAUAUAGUUAACCUCCUUGUGGUUCGACCCCGGUCUUACCGGGUUAUUUAUUACUUCGACACUCCUACACUUGGGAGAAGACAUCAAUCUUUUGGUCGUGUCAAGUUUUUGGCACCGUUGCCGGGGAGGUAAAUUCUUGUAUAAAUUAUAAUAUUUAUUUUAUUUUCUCUUUUCACUUUUCAUUUUAUCUAACUUUUAUUUCUUUUGUUUUCUUUUGUUUCUUUUUCUUCUCUUCUCCUUUCUUCCUUUAUUCUCCUCUUACACGUGCAUGAGAGUUUGGUCACGUAUAUUAAAUGGUAGACUUUGUAGGGUAUCCUCAUAAUUUUUAGAAAUAUGACUGAAGAAGAUAAUCAAUACCUUCAUAAUGAGAAUAAUGAGAAUAACUGUAUGAGAAUACUUGGAGACCAUAUGAAUCCCACAAGAACAAUUGCACCCUCAUGCAUAGUUUUCCCUCCUGAUGCAUUUCAUUUUAAUUUUAAACCAUACAUUAUUCAACUUUUACCUUCUUUUCAUGGCUUAGACCUAGAACAAUUUUUAAUUUUUUUUUCCAUCUCACAGAACAAACUCUUUUAAAAGACAAAUCAUCACUUUCACUCAAAAGCCAGGAGAAAUAUUUUACCAAUGUUGGGAUAGGUAUCGAGACUUGCUUAAUACUUGCCUUCAUCAUGGUUUUGAAACAUGGAGAUUGGUUUCACAUUUUUAUGAAGGGUUAACACCUAGAGAUAGGCAAAUGGUUGAAUUGAUGUGCAAUGGAACUUUUGAAGAUAAAGACCCUAAUGAAGCAAUGAAGUACAUAGACUUGCUAACAAAAAAUGCUCAAAAUUGGGACACCAUAGAUACUUCUGAGACACCAAGUAAAACUCAACCUCAUACAUCUAGAGGUAUACAACCUUAGAGAAGUCAUGACCUCCAAGCCAAGUUUGCAUCUUUAGCUAGAAAAGUUUGAAGCACUUGAAUUGAAAAGGGAGUGAUCAAUUAAAAUCUAUUCAAGACAUUGUGUGUCAAAUCUGUGAAACCAAUGAACACUCAAAAAAUGAUUGUCCAACUUUGCCUUCUUUUAGGGAAUGCCUUCAUGAAAAGCCAUGCUUUAAACAGUUUUCAAAGGCCCAAUCAUAACCCAUACUCACAAACGUAUAACCCUGGUUGGAUAAAUCACCUAAAUUUUAGUUGGAAGAGUGAUAGCAACAAUACACAAACUUAACAACCACCGUUUCAAGCACACCAUGAUUUCUAAAAUUCUUAUGGAUAUGCACCUCCUUAUGCUCCACCUCCUAGAAGAAAUCUUGAGGAAACAUUGCAUGCAUUCAUCAAAAAACAAGAGGCAAUCAACACUCAACUUGCUCAAGGCAUGCCAGAUUUUAAAGAUACUCUUGCAAAGUUAACAUCUACUCUCAGUUUCCAAGAAAAUGGUAAGUUUUCAUCUCAACAACAUCAAAAUCCAAAAGGACAAUACAAUGCAAAUGCAAGUAGUUCCGGAAGCCAACACAUGGAUCAAGUCAAAUCAGUCACCACUCUUCGUAGUGGUAAGGUUAUUGAAAAACCCGCUCUUGAACCUUGUGAGAAAGAUGAUGAGUCUAUCUUUGAGGGUAAGGAAGGGGUUGAAUAUGAACAUUGCAAAGAAAAUGUUGAUUCCCUGCCAGCACUCUCAUUUCCUCAUGCCAUGACCAAACAAAGAAAAGUCAACCACAACUCUGAAAUCUUUGACACUUUCAAACAUGUAAGGAUCAAUAUACCUUUGUUGGAUGCUAUUAAACAGGUUCCUUCCUAUGCUAAAUUUUUGAAAGAUCUGUGCACUGUGAAGAGAAAACUGAAUGUGACAAAGAAAACAUUUUUAGCCGAACAAGUGCCAUUCUUCAAACCAAUAAUGCUUUGAAAUAUAAAAACCCUGGUUGUGCUACAAUUUCUUGUUUUUAUUAAAGAACAUAAAAUUAAAAGAGCCUUAUUUGAUCUUGGAGCUAGUGUGAAUUUACUUUCAUAUUCAGUUUUUUUAAAGUCUUAAUCUAGGUGAGUUAAAACCAACUUCUGUAACUCUUUUACUUGCUGAUAGAUCUGUAAAAGUGCCUAGAGGAAUAGUUGAGGAUGUGUUAGUACAAGUUGAUAAAUUCAUUUACCCUGUAGAUUUUUUUGUCUUGGAUACACAACCUAUUGAAGCAUGUAAUUCAAUUCCUCUAAUUUUAGGGCGUCCAUUUCUUACCACUUCUAAUGCAUUAAUUAAUUGUAGGAAUGGACUGAUGAAGCUAUCAUUUGGAAACAUGACAUUGGAGAUGAAUAUUUUCAACAUUUACAAGCAACCUGGAGAUGAUAAUGAUUUACAGGAAGUGGAUUUUAUUGAAAAAUUAGUUCAUGAUCAAUUUCAAACCACUUCUAGUGAAACUGAGAUUGAUGAAUCUGAUGAUUUGCAAAUGGUCUCCUUUCAGGAACAAUCAAAGGCAUGUAAAUAGAGACCAUAAAUUGAAGAAUUGUGACACGACCAAAAGAUUGAUGUCUUCUCCCAAGUGCAGGAGUGUCAAAGUAAUAAAUAACCCGGCAAGACCAAGGUCGAACCACAGGGAGAUUAACUAUAAAUUAUAAAUAACAACACAACAACAACAACAACAACAACAAUUAGUAGUAGUAGUAAUAAUAGUAAUACUAAUACAAAUAAUAACAAUAAUAGUAAUAAUAGUAGUAGUAGUACUAAUAAUAUUAAUAAUAGUAAUAGUAAUAAUAAAGAGGACCUUUGAGAUGCAAGAUUAAUGUGAGGAUUAAACAAUAAUAAAAACAAAUGUCAAGGUUAGAAGAUCCAUUAAUGGUAUUUCAAACAAGUAUAAUAUAAACUCUUAUUAUUCAACUGGAAACCACACACAAAGGAGGUUCCAAUCGAAUGAUUUAUCAUUAAUAUCUCAUUAUAAAUUAUUAACAUGAUCAUAUUAAUUAUCUUAUUUAAAUAACACCAAACUUUUAAAUAUUGUCAGGAAUUCAUGAUGCUAACUAAUGUUAACAACAAAUCAAGUUCCUUUCAUAGCACAGGUGUAGGUAAACCAUACGGUUGGGCUAUGAGAGUGCUAAGCAUUUGUUGUACCAAGUGUUAUACAACACAAAUAUAGAUUAACCAUUUAACAAGCAAGAUAUUAAGAAUUAGUAAGAUAAAAAGAUAAGACAUGUUAAUAUUAAACAUUAAGGUCCAUGUUGAGUUUACAUUAUACUUAUUCUUACACCAUUAGUGUAACAUUUUCACGUUGACAUAAUAAACUUAGCUAAACAUAAUGAAGAAGAGAAACAUAAAUAAACAAAAAAGAACAUAAAUAAGAUACAAGUUAACUAAGUAAAGGAAAGGAAAUGAAAAGCAUAGACAAGAUAUUAAUGAAAGCAAAACUUAAGAAUUACAAAAAAAAUGUAAAGAGAGAGAGCAAGAACAAGUUCUUGAUCUGAACACUAAGAUGCCUAAAUGCAUGCCAAAUGCCUCCUUUUAUAGGCCAAAAUUUAGAACUAUUGAUUUGAUGACUAAUUGUUGAAUGGGUGGCCAACUCUUAACUUGGUGAAAAUCCUUAUCUUCUUGUCCGAAUAAAACAUCAUUGCUAACAUCAGAACUAGAACCACCUGUACGUAUGAAAGUUCUAGGAAAUUGUCUUAUCUUUUUAGGAAAAAAAAUUGAGGUCAUUUGGGCUUCUAGAACUUGAGAUAUGGGUUGAACACUAAACAAUAUCUGGGCUGCAGGACAUAUUUGGACUUGAAAACGACCUUUUUAAAUCUUGGACUGCACAUGAAAGUUGUAGGCCUAUGUCUUAGCAAAUCUAUCAAAAAAUUGAGAUCAUUUGGACAUUUAGAACUCGAGAUAUGACCCAAUUACCGAACAGUGUUCCAGUUUAGACUGCACCAAUAUUUUUUUUUCUAAGUUUGGCACUCUCUUUGUCCUUUCAAUUUCAAUACUUAAACUCAUCAAUCUAUCCUUUCAUUUAUGUGAUAGGCCUGCAUUUAAGAUGAACCUUUUCCAUAAAUUAAAGGUAUCUUAUUUUAUUAUUAUAAAACAUGCUUUAGUUAAGGAGUUAUUAAUACUUCAAGUGCAAAAUGAUGAUAUAAAACCUUGAUAAAAAUACACUUUUAAGUACUAAUCACACCCCCCAACCACCUUAUUACUAGUCCCUAGUAAUCAAAGCGUUAAAAUAGAAAAACAAUUUGCAAGUUCCAGAAAGCAAGGCAUUCAUCAUUAAACUUCCAUUAAUCUAUCCAAAUAAACAAACUCUCAUUAAAUUUGUAAUCCUGCUUCAUAUAUCUUAAACAAGAUAUUAAUAAACCUUGUUUUUAUGUGCUCAAUGAAAACAUAGAUGAUGAGACUUUUGUUGGAAGAAAACAAUAUUAUGUUCUAAUGUUUAAGAUUAACUUCCUGGGGUUGGGUAUUAUUAUAUAUAUAUAUUUUUUUUUUCUUUUUUUAUUAUUUAUUUAUAUACAUAUACAACUUAAAACACAAUGCAUCUUUAACAAAUGUAACGAGUUUUCGGCUAAUGACUCCCAAACCAAUUGGUCUUAGGGCAUUAGGUGUUGAGACACCCCUAUGAGCUUAGUAACUCGGGUUGCAGAUACUGAUAUGUAGAUAAUGCAAUGUUUUAUUUCCUUAAGCUUUUCUCCUUAACCCAUGUAACAAGCUUUAGGCCAAUAGCUCCUAAGUCUGUUGACUUUAGGGUAUUAGGUGUUAAAACACCCAUUCGAGCUUAAUUGCUUAGGUUAGGGAGGCUACGAAACCAAACUUAUCUAUGUUUUUAUUAUCAUCAAUAUUAUCAUUUUUUUUUCAAAUUAUACACUAUCCCUUUCCCUUAGUUGUUACCUUUAACAAAAGAACAUAAAUAAUGUAAUAAUCCAAUGUGCAACCCACAAUCAUAUGAUAAAGUGCGUGUGUGAAAAUGAAGGUUUAAGAAUACUUGUUAAAUGAGUAUAUGAGCAGGAUCGAGUGACAACAAUGUGAGAGUUUGUAAACCUGAAUAUUUCAAGAAGUAUUCUAAUAGACCUUGGUGAUGAUACUUACUAAGAUGCGUCUCAAGAGUCAAUAAAAUUUCCUCCUUACUCUGCCAUCCUAAUAACAAUUUUGUCAAAUAGUUUUAAUAAUAGUAAAAAGAGUUAGUAAGUUAGUUUUUUUUUAUGUCGACUACUACCCUCUCCCCCAACCAAAACGAGACAUUAUCCUCAAUGUCCUAAGGUAGAAAUCACCUGAAACACAAACAAUGACAAACCUGAAACACACUUAAACAAAUAUAAGAAGUAACAAAACAAAAUAAUAUGCUAUUAAUAAAACCAAAAAACACAAGGUUUCAAAAAUGAAGGCUCAAAUCUAAUCUAAGCUUUUUACGGCUUUCCUUAGUUGACCAAUUUAGGCGAAUCAUGCAGGGAUCAAUGACAGGGAUGAAAGAUUGUAGUUGGUCAAUCAAUUGUUCAGCAGUAGCAGCAGAGAUUAUGAUUGCUCGUGCCGAAGAUAUUAGAAAUUCAUGUUCCACAGCUUGAUCAAGAAAAGACAACAAUUUAUCAUAGAAACCAUUAACAUUUAACAAACCUAUAGGUUUAUGGUGAAUGUGCAGUUGGGCCCGAGAGGAAAUAUGAAAGAUCUCUUCCAAUGUGCCCAGACCACCUGGUAAGGCAAUGAAGGCAUCAACAUGGUUAAACAUGACAUUUAGUCGAUCAGACAUUGUGGGGACCUGUAGUUCCUCUCCAAUAUUUUUUCCAAUGAUGUCCCUAUUUGUUAAAGCUUUGGGGACAUCCCCCAAAACUUGACUGCCUCCUAAAAAUGCAGCCAUUGACACACCUCCCAUUAACCCAAGGUUACCUCCCCCAUACAUUAAAUGAAUCUUUCUCUCAGCUAGUACCCGACCAAGAUGAUUUGCUGAUUCUAAAAACUCUUUUUCUUUCCCAGGACUGGAUCCACCGAAAACACAAAUAUUUCUUAUGUGAUGACUUGAGGAACCUGCCAUUUCUACAUGCUUUUAUAUUUGAUGAAUGUAUGGGUUGAGUAGAAAUGAAGGGAAGGAAGAGAAUAAUUUAUAGAUGAGAAAUUGAAAAUGCAAUCAUACCACCUAUAUGUAGGCCAACUGUAGUCUCACACACACGCUCUCUGUUUAUUAAUUAUUUAUUUUGAAAAAAAGCAUGUGUAUGUACAAGUAGUUGUGAUUGUGCCUCACAUCUUCUCUUGGUUUUACAUCCAAGAACGACUUAAACGCUCUCUAUGGGUCGGGGAUAGGUUUCCCAUCCAGUUUUCUUAAAAACUGGCAAAUAAGGUCUUUUUUAGUUAGAUUCCCAAGACUAAGUCGGGCAUGUUCUUUAUGGAAUUGUGGCCAUAAAUCAUGAAUUUCACGAUGUACAUCUCCACUAGGAUGCGUCUCAAGGGUCAACAGAAGAUUAUUUAAAGACCCUUUACUGAGGCCAUCCUUAAUGAAUUGUAUUUUAUCUUCAUGGUUUACAUAUACCAUUCCUAAAAAAUGACAUGUCGCAUUACAAGUCCAUCUGACACAUCUAUGACAGACUUUCAGUAAUUUUGCAUGACGUUUCUUUGCAAAAGUGCUUUUACCUAUUCCAGGCAUGUGUGAAAUGAAAGAAUUGGAGGACUCACCUACUAAUCGGACCUUUGCUUCAAUUAGCCAGCGAAUAUCUUCAGGAAUUCCAUGAUUCAUUAACAACCUCAAUCUUGCACACCUAGUACGGUAAAUUUUUGUAAUCUCAUUUGAAGGCAAAGUGGAAAAAUACCUUUUCAAUUUUUCGAGAGUGGUGUCCAUUUUUAAAGAAUUGGGGAAAAGAUUCAAAGAAGGGAGAAAGAGCAAAGAAUUGCAAAAAUAUAGACAGAUAUUAGCUAUUAUUGAAAACUAAAAGAACCAACUUAAGUCACGGAGUACCGUUAUCCACCAUUUGACCGGGGUGAGAGAGAGACUAGCAAAACAAAAGUUACACCAAAACAAAACACAAAACAAUGUGAGAAAAAGAAUCAAUCUUUAUAUAUAGGAUCACUCAAUUCAAUAGUCAUUUUCAACCGAAAAAUUAUCGAAAUAAACUUUGAAACGAUGCCCAUUUACCUUGAAAACAUUGCCAUUCUUUGGAUUCUUGAUAUCACAGGCCCCAUAUGGAUAUACAUGUUUCAUAAUAAAAGGAUCGCUCCAUCUUGAUCUUAGUUUUCCAGGAAAUAAAUGGAGUUGAGAAUUAUAAAGCAAGACUUUUUGACCAACAUUGAAUGUUUUUCUAAGUAUUUUCUUGUCAUGAAACUCUUUGAUUCUUGCUUUAUGAAUUCUUGAAUUGUCAUAUGCAUAAUUUCUUAUUUUCUCAAGCUCAUUUAUUUACAAUUUUCGUAGCAUCAUCAAGGUUGGAAUUGAAAGCUUUAACAGCCCAAUAAGCUUUAUGUUCAAUUUUCACAGGCAAGUGCAAGGUUUUCCAUUUACUAAUCUAUAAGGUGCCAUACCUAAUGAUGUUUUUAUAAGCAGUUCGAUAAGUUCAAAGUGCAUCAUUAAGUCUUAAAGGCCAGUCUUUCCUAUUAGGGUUCACUGUUUUCUCCAAGAUUUGUUUGAUCUCCCUAUUAGCAAGCUCUACUUAUCCACUUGUAUGAGGGUGAUAAGGGGUGGCAACUUUGUGUGUGAUUCCAUAUUUUUUCAUUAAAGAAUCAAAUGGCUUGUUGCAUAAAUGUGUUCCACCAUCACUUAUCAUGGCUCGAGGGAUUCCAAAUCAACUCAAAAUAUUGUAUUUCAAAAACUUUAUCACUGUUUUGUGAUCAUUGUAUUGGCUUGGAAUUGCCUCUAUCUAUUUUGAAACAUAAUCUACUACGACUAAUAUGUACACGAAACCAAAUGAUGGAGGAAAUGGACCCAUGAAAUCUAUACGCCAACAAUCAAAGAUCUCAAUGACAAUAAUAGGAUUUAAAGGCAUGAUGUGACGUUUUGAAAUAGAUCCCAACUUUUAACAAUUUUCAUAAGUGUUGCAGAAUGCAUGUGAGUCCUUGAACAUGGUGGGCCAGUAAAAUCCACUUUGUAAGAUUUUUGCAGUUGUUUUUUUGACAAGAAAUGACACCCACAUGCCUCAGAAUGACCAAAUUUAAUGACGCUACUUCCCUCAUUGAUGAUUAUGUUUUUAUUAUAUAUGGGUCCCUGCAUUCUUGAUUAUGUUUAAAAACAUCCCCGUCCCUUUUUACCUCACUUUUUCUAGUUUUGAUCAAGGUUGUCAAUUCCGGUCUGUUUUGUUUGGAAUGGUCGAAACAUUUGAUACUUAUUAAAAAACAUAACAAAACGAAAAAAGUUUCAUCUUAUUUUAAAUCUCGGUCCAUUCCGGAGUUUUUGACUAAAUUUUGACUGGAAUGUUCCGGUUUCAUUCCACAUAUUUCAUUCUGGUCUUGAAAAGCCAUUGAAUCAAAUUGAAUCUGGUUCAAUUUAAUUAAUUAAACCACCCAAAUAUAAAAAGCUUUUUUUAAUUACUAUUUUCAAUUACAAUGAUACUAAUAAUAAUAUUGAAAAUUAUUAUUACUAUUUUCAUUAACAAUGAUAUUAAAUUUUUAAAAUUAGAUUUAUCACUAACAAUGAUACUAAUUUAUUAUUUAUGGAUAUUUUGAAAGUUGUAGAAUAUAUAUAAGAAACAUAAAUUAAUAUUUAAAAUUACUUUAUCACCAAUAAUAAAUGGAAUAAAAAUAAAAUUCAUAAUAUAAGUAAAAAUUUAGUUAAACUUACACUAAUGCAAAUAAGUCAAAAUACAAUAAAAAGAUACAAUUAUGGUGCUUGUUGUGGAGAUGAACCAUGAUAUUGUGGAUCAACAUAAGAUGAAUUAUGACAUGAUGGUCGAGGUGUAGGUCAAUAUAUUGGUGGAGAUGUGGGAUCCAUAGGUGUCAUUUUAUGGGGAGCCAUAUGUGGCUCCAUUGAUGGGGCCAUAAGUGCUGGCAUACCUUGGCCAAUGUUUGAUGUCCCACCAUGAUAUCCAAGAUUGUUCAUAAGAUAUUCUUUCAUAGAAUCCAUCUGUCGUUUCAUUUCAAAAAUAAAAUCAUCUCUUUUCUUUAUCCCGCUUCUUUUUUCUUUAUCUCCUUUUGCAAUGCUCGAUAAGAUGAAUUAGGAUAUUGUGACUUCACCGAGUAGGAAUGUGAUGAAGAACUUGUAAUCACUAUAGAUUUUGGCAUACGAGGUGCACUAUAUACCCUACCCUUUGUAACUCCUCCUGAAGCCACCACCAAGCUGCUCCAUCAAAUGAAGAAUGAUUUUUCCUAUUAGUUCCGUACUUUGAAAUCAUCUCCUUCUUAUCAUUUUCCUUAAAAAUAAAAUACAUACAAUAAUAAAUUCAUUUGAAUGUUAAAUAGUAUUUAAGUUAUAUAAAUAAAUAAAUAAAAAUACAUACAAUCACUUUCUUAGACUUGCUAUUUACAAAGAUUCUAAACUGCUUAGUACUUUGAUGCAAAGCUGAAACGACAUCAUCUCAUGAAGGUUUUUUUUUCUACCAACUUGCUUUUGCUAGGAAUUAUGAAACAUGUCCGUCAUGAACUCUCAUAAGUCUCUCAUCAUUUUGACAAUAUCUUGCAUUGGACUGUGUAAUUCAACACCUUCGAUGCGGACCUGGAUUUCGGGUAGAAAUCAUGAUGCUAUUUUAUGACAUGGAAAACAAAAUUAGGGUAUUUUUUAAACCUUUAUGAACUCUCACAACUCUCACAAGGCUCUCACCAUUUUGACGAUCUUUUGUAAUGGACUGUGUAAUUCAACACCUUCAAUUCAGACCUGGAUUUUAGCUAGAAAUCUUGACGCUAUUUUAUGAUAUGGAAAACAAAAUUAUGUUUUAAUUUAUAUAUAUGGGUCCCUGCAUUCUUCAUUAUGUUUAAAAACUUCCCCAUCCCUUUUUACCUCACUUUUUUCUAGUUUUGAUCAAGGUUGUCAAUUUCGUUCUGUUUUGUUUGGAAUCACCGAAACAUUUCAUAUCUAUUAAAAAACAUAACAAAACAGAACAAGUUUCAUCUUAUUUUAAAUCUCGGUCCAUUCCGGAGUUUUUGACUAAAUUUUGACUGGAAUGUUCCGGUUUCAUUCCACAUAUUUCAUUCCGGUCUUGAAAAGCCAUUGAAUCAAAUUGAAUCUGGUUCAAUUUAAUUAAUUAAACCACCCAAGUAUAAAAAGCUUUUUUUAAUUACUAUUUUCAAUAACAAUGAUAUUAAUAAUAAUAUUGAAAAUUAUUAUUAUUUUCAUUAACAAUGAUAAAAUUUUUAAAUUAGAUUUAUCACUAAUAUAUAUGGUUUAUUUCAUGUUUUUUUUCAUGUUUAUACUUUGGAGAAAUUUGAGCAAAACAAGGGAUGCUUUAGAUCCCAUUAGCCUCGAUAACGUUGAACUAGCUUUAUAUGUAAAAUAUUGGUAUUAAAACAUUUUACUUUCAUAAUAUUUUGAUAUUUUGUUUAAGUUAGUUGAGAAUAAUGGAAUGUGUUGGGUUGUGCCUUAGCCAACCUUCCUAUUUAUAUAGAGGCAGCAAAACACUGCAGUAACUAUAAUGAUUACAACAUCCUAUAUUACUUUCCUAUCCUGAUAGAUACAUGAGUAACUGUAAUGAUAACAACAUCCUAUAUUAAUUUCCUAUUCUACAAUAUGCCCCCUCAAGUUGAGGGUGGGGGAUCAACUCGAAGCUUGAACCAAAAGAAGUAAAGGAUGCAACAUGAAGCGGUUUAGUGAAGACAUCGACAAGUUGAUCCCGAGAGGGAACAAAAUGAAUCUGAAUUUCUUUCUUGGCAACACGGUCACGAACAAAGUGAUAAUCCACUUCAACAUGCUUUGUACGAGCAUGGAAGAUAGGAUUUGCUGAGAGAUAGGUAGCACCAAGAUUAUCACACCAAAUGGUAGGAGCAGAGACUGAGGGAACUUGCAAAUCUGUUACACAGUUUGGCCAAAUGACUUCAAGCGGUACCAUCAGCAAGGGCUUUAUACUCAGCCUCAGUAGAGGAGUGAGCAAUAGUGCGUUGCUUGCCGGAUUUCCAAGAAAUCGGCGUCUGACCAAAAAAGACAAGAUAGCCGCCUGUAAACUUGCGAUCAUCAAUAACCAGCCCAAUCUGUAUCUAUAAAGCCAUGUAGAGCAAAAGAGGAGCCUUGAGUGAUAUGGAAACCAUAAGAUGUCGUACCUUUAAGAAAUAGCGUAAAAUACGUUUGACAGCGGCCCAAUGAGAAAUGUAAGAGCAUGCAUAAACUGACAGACUCUGUUAACAACAAAGCAUAUAUCUGGACGGGUGAAGGUAAGAUAUUGAACGGGUAUGCGUUUUUGAUAUGCGAACUUGAAUGCUAUAUUUACAGCUUUUAGUAUAUAAUUAGCUUGCUAUACAUGUUAUUUUCUCAAACUUUAAUGUUAUUUAUUUAUUUCAGGUCAGGUUCGGGUAGACCAAUAUCCAUACUCUACUCGGACUUGACUUUUUCCAUUUGAUUUAUUCGAAACUCGAUUGAGUCUAAAAGUUUUCUAUUUGAAUCGAUUGAGUUAGUAUGCAUAGGUAAAACUGUCAUGGUAAGUAUAAUCCAAAUACCAUAUUGUUUGGCAAUGAUAUGCUUUGCUAUUAGUUCUAACAUGACAACUAACAAACUAUCAACCCAACAAAAAGAUAUAAAAUCAUGUUAAAGAAUUAUCUCAACCACAAAACUUAAGUUGUUAUGUAAAGUUUUAAGAUAUAAUUAUAUUAUUAUCUAACCACCUCUCGAAUGAAAGCAUUUUGGGCUUGAAACUUGCAAACCCAUAUUACCUUGUGCUUUUUUUAUUCAAAUAUAGAGAUGGUGAGAUUCGAACUCGUAAUUACUUAAUUAUCAAGGCUAUAAUACCAUAUCAAAGAACCAUCUCAACACAAUAACUUAAACUAUUAUAUAAGAUUUCAAAUAAUUUAUAUUACUCUUUAAUCAUUUCGAUAUUAAUUUACAUGUAAGGGCAUAUUGUAUUCUGAAUGCCCCACGAAGACAGAAAGAGUUGGAAGAAAAAGGCUAGAAGCUAGAUGCUAGAGCAUGGAGCUAUGGACCAAUCUAUGAACUUUUCAGCCAGCAGAGCAAGUUGUUGUUUGGAGCCCUUCUACUUUAUAAAUUCUGAAGAGGCAAGAAAAAGAAGACUUUCAUCUUUUUUCGAGAGACAGAAGGCAUGCUAAUGAAACUAGGGGUGGGGGAGUUUUGUAGGUGAAGACCACGAGAUGAAGCACACACGGGGAAGGAAGAAUUAGAGCUUCGUGACAAACCUAAGAUUUUUGAAUUGUUCUCUUUUUUUUCAUGCUCAUGCAGCAGAUUAUCCUACGUAGACCACCAUUACCACAACAAGGAAGAGAUAGAGAGCUGCUAGUCAGCAAAUCUGCUGCAACUUGGUCCCUUGUUCUAUAAAUGGCUGCUGAUGUCGAGACUCAAAAAUCACUUCAAUUUCAAGAUCAAGAUUGAGUUUAUACACUAAUUCUUGCAUUAAUAUCAGUACUACUGCCAUUGAGACCAUGGCCUUCAAGACAUUUUCUUUGUUUCUCUCGUGAUUGCUGCAAUAUUGCAGCCCCAGUUGCUGAAGCUCAUUGGGCUUAUUGGCGGUCUUCUGGGUUUGAUCCGAUCCAAGGGACUAUUUUGCACUGCCGAUGGCAAUAUUGGUGCUAAUGGCACAGCAACCCCUGUUUUCCCUAGUAUGCUUGCCCUGAUUCCUCUCUUUUCUUUUUUCUUUUCUUUUGAUCGAUAGUAAAGUAUCCUCGGACCAGAUUGUCAUGUUAUAGUUACCAUUCAUCACAUACGACAUCGUCGAAUGCAAUUUGACUUUGUUCUUCUUCUUAUCUUGCUUAUAAAGUUGUAAUUACAGUAACGGGUUUUUUCUUGCAGAUGCUCUCGUGCAGUUGCAAUGUGGAGGAAAUGUGGUUUCUACGUCAACACCAAUGGAUCUGGGAUGUUUUCUAUUUUGUUGGUCCUCUAAAUUAUAUUCUUUCCUCGGUAUUGAGCGACUGCAACCUGAAGGUCGUCACCGCUGAUCAGCUGCACUCAGUCUCCCUUGCUGUGGGUGGCUCCUAUCACCCUUACAGUUCAUCGGGAACACUGCUCUAGGAGCCUCUGAGUGUUGCAAACAUCAUCCCUGCCGGAUUCCGAUUCGUGCCUUAAAUUAGGAGACCACUGUAGUGAAGGCGGCAUUUAUUAUAUUUAGUAUGGCCAUUGCUAUGUACUCUUUUAUGAAUAAGGCUGUUGUAUUUACGUGUGUACUGUUUAUUGUUUUUCUUGCUUCCCAGGAUAAGGUCAUGAUUGGCUAUGCCAUUAUAUUAUAUAAUGUAUAUAUUUAGCGGUCUAAAUUACGAGGGGCCUACUAAAAAACGUAGCAAGUAUUUUGAUGCAAAUAAAACUAAUUUGUUGCUAAAACAUUUAGCAACAAAAUUAGCAACAUCGAUGUAUUAUAUGCAGAUUUGUUUUGUUGAUUUUAUAAUAGGGAUUUGUCGGUUGUUGAUUUAUCAGUAAUGAAUAAUCUAUUGCUCACAAUUGCAUGGAUUUUCCGUGCUAACAAUUAGAAUGUCUGUUGCUGGUUUUUUGAAUUAUUUACAAUCAACAACGAAAAAUCCGUAGCUAAUUAUAUGAUUUUAUUUAAUUAAUAUAUAUUAUAUAUUUUAUCCAAAUGACUUUUUUUUAAUUUAUUAUUUAUGGAUAUUUGAAAGUUGUAGAAUAUAUAUAAGAACAUAAAUUAUAUUAUUAAUUACUUUAUCACCAAUAAUAAAUGGAAUAAAAAUAAAAUUCAUAAUUAAGUAAAAAUUUAGUUAACUUACACUAAUGCAAAUAAGUCAAAAUACAAUAAAAGAUACAAUUAUGGUGCUUGUUGUGGAGAUGCAUGAUUGUGGAUCAACAUAAGAUGAAUUAUGACAUGAUGGUCGGGUGUAAGGUCAAUUAUUGGUGGAGAUGUGGGAUCCAUAGAUGUCAUUUUAUGGGGAGCCAUAAGUGCUGGCAUACCUUGGUCAAUGUUUGAUGUCCCACCAUGAUAUCCAAGAUUGUUCAUAAGAUAUUCUUUCAUAGAAUCCAUCUGUCGUUUCAUUUCAAAAAUAAAAUCAUCUCUUUUCUUUAUCCCGCUUCUUUUUUCUUUAUCUCCUUUUGCAAUGCUCGAUAAGAUGAAUUAGGAUAUUGUGACUUCACCGAGUAGGAAUGUGAUGAAGAACUUGUAAUCACUAUAGAUUUUGGCAUACGAGGUGCACUAUAUACCCUACCCUUUGUAACUCCUCCUGAAGCCACACACCAAGCUGCUCCAUCAAAUGAAGAAUGAUUUUUCCUAUUAGUUCCGUACUUUGAAAUCAUCUCCUUCUUAUCAUUUUCCUUAAAAAUAAAAUACAUACAAUAAUAAAUUCAUUUGAAUGUUAAAUAGUAUUUAAGUUAUAUAAAUAAAUAAAUAAAAAUACAUACAAUCACUUUCUUAGACUUGCUAUUUACAAAGAUUCUAAACUGCUUAGUACUUUGAUGCAAAGCUGAAACGACAUCAUCUCAUGAAGGUUUUUUUUCUACCAACUUGCUUUUGCUAGGAAUUAUGAAAGAACAUGUCCGUCAUGAACUCUCAUAAGUCUCUCAUCAUUUUGACAAUAUCUUGCAUUGGACUGUGUAAUUCAACACCUUCGAUGCGGACUUGGAUUUCGAGUAGAAAUCAUGAUGCUAUUUUAUGACAUGGAAAACAAAAUUAGGGUAUUUUUUUAAACCUUUAUGAACUCUCACAACUCUCACAAGGCUCUCACCAUUUUGACGAUCUUUUGUAAUGGACUGUGUAAUUCAACACCUUCAAUUCAGACCUGGAUUUUAGCUAGAAAUCUUGACGCUAUUUUAUGAUAUGGAAAACAAAAUUAUGUUUUAAUUAUAUAUAUAUGAGUCCCUGCAUUCUUCAUUAUGUUUAAAAACUUCCCCAUCCCUUUUUACCUCACUUUUUUCUAGUUUUGAUCAAGGUUGUCAAUUUCGUUCUGUUUUGUUUGGAAUCACCGAAACAUUUCAUAUCUAUUAAAAAACAUAACAAAACAGAACAAGUUUCAUCUUAUUUUAAAUCUCGGUCCAUUCCGGAGUUUUUGACUAAAUUUUGACUGGAAUGUUCCGGUUUCAUUCCACAUAUUUCAUUCCGGUCUUGAAAAGCCAUUGAAUCAAAUUGAAUCUGGUUCAAUUUAAUUAAUUAAACCACCCAAGUAUAAAAAGCUUUUUUUAAUUACUAUUUUCAAUAACAAUGAUAUUAAUAAUAAUAUUGAAAAUUAUUAUUACUAUUUUCAUUAACAAUGAUAAUAAAUUUUUAAAAUUAGAUUUAUCACUAAUAUAUAUGGUUUAUUUUCAUGUUUUUUUUUCAUGUUUAUACUUUGGAGAAAUUUGAGCAAAACAAGGGAUGCUUUAGAUCCCAUUAGCCUCGAUAACGUUGAACUAGCUUUAUAUGUAAAAUAUUGGUAUUAAAACAUUUUACUUUCAUAAUAUUUUGAUAUUUUGUUUAAGUUAGUUGAGAAUAAUGGAAUGUGUUGGGUUGUGCCUUAGCCAACCUUCCUAUUUAUAUAGAGGCAGCAAAACACUGCAGUAACUAUAAUGAUUACAACAUCCUAUAUUACUUUCCUAUCCUGAUAGAUACAUGAGUAACUGUAAUGAUAACAACAUCCUAUAUUAAUUUCCUAUUCUACAAUAUGCCCCCUCAAGUUGAGGGUGGGGGAUCAACUCGAAGCUUGAACCGAAAAGAAGUAAAGGAUGCAACAUGAAGCGGUUUAGUGAAGACAUCGACAAGUUGAUCCCGAGAGGGAACAAAAUGAAUCUGAAUUUUUUUUUGGCAACACGGUCACGAACAAAGUGAUAAUCCACUUCAACAUGCUUUGUACGAGCAUGGAAGAUAGGAUUUGCUGAGAGAUAGGUAGCACCAAGAUUAUCACACCAAAUGGUAGGAGCAGAGACUAAGGGAACUUGCAAAUCUGUUAACAAGUAUUGAAGCCAAAUGACUUCAGCGGUACCAUCAGCAAGGGCUUUAUACUCAGCCUCAGUAGAGGAGUGAGCAAUAGUGCGUUGCUUGCCGGAUUUCCAAGAAAUCGGCGUCUGACCAAAAAAGACAAGAUAGCCACCCGUAAACUUGCGAUCAUCAAUACUACCAGCCCAAUCUGUAUCUAUAAAGCCAUGUAGAGCAAAAGAGGAGCCUUGAGUGAUAUGGAAACCAUAAGAUGUCGUACCUUUAAGAUAGCGUAAAAUACGUUUGACAGCGGCCCAAUGAGAAUAUGUAAGAGCAUGCAUAAACUGACAGACUCUGUUAACAACAAAGCAUAUAUCUGGACGGGUGAAGGUAAGAUAUUGAACGGGUAUGCGUUUUUGAUAUGCGAACUUGAAUGCUAUAUUUUACAGCUAUUUAGUAUAUAAUUAGCUUGCUAUACAUGUAUUUUUCUCAAACUUUAAUGUUAUUUAUUUAUUUCAGGUCAGGUUCGGGUAGACCAAUAUCCAUACUCUACUCGGACUUGACUUUUUCCAUUUGAAUUUUAUUCGAAACUCGAUUGAGUCUAAAUUUUUUCUAUUUGAAUCAAUUUGAGUUAGUAUGCAUAGGUAAAACUGUCAUGGUAAGUAUAAUCCAAAUACCAUAUUGUUUGGCAAUGAUAUGCUUUGCUAUUAGUUCUAACAUGACAACUAACAAAACUAUCACACCCAACAAAAAAAGAUAUAAAAUCAUGUUAAAGAAUUAUCUCAACCCAAUAACUUAAGUUGUUAUGUAAAGUUUUAAGAUAUAAUUUAUAUUAUUAUCUAACACACCCUCUCAAAUGAAAGCAUUUUGGGCUUGAAACUUGCACAAACCCAUAUUACCUUGUGCUUAAUUUUUAUCAAAUAAAUAGAGAUGGUGAGAUUCGAACUCGUAAUUACUUAAUUAUCAAGGCUAUAAUACCAUAUCAAAGAACCAUCUCAACACAAUAACUUAAACUAUUAUAUAAGAUUUCAAGAUAUAAUUUAUAUUACUCUCUAAUCAAUUUCGAUAUUAUUUACAUGUAAGGGCAUAUUGUAAUCUGAAUGCCCCACGGAGACAGAAAGAGUUGGAAGAAAAAAGGCUAGAAGCUAGAUGCUAGAGCAUGGAGCUAUGGACCAAUCUAUGAACUUUUCAGCCACGCAGAGCAAUUUGUUGUUUGGAGCCCUUCUACUUUAUAAAUUCUGAAGAGGCAAGAAAAAGAAGACUUUCAUCUUUUUUCGAGAGACAGAAGGCAUGCUAAUGAAACUAGGGGUGGGGGAGUUUUGUAGGUGAAGACCACAGAUGAAGCACACAGGGGAAGGAAGAAUUAGAGCUUCGUGACAAACCUAAGAUUUUUGAAUUUCUCUUUCUUUUCAUGGUCAUGCAGCAGAUUAUCCUACGUAAACUCACCAUCACCACAAACAAGGAAGAGAUAAGAGAGCUGUUAGUCAGCAAAAUCUGCUGCAACUUGGUCUCCCUUGUUCUAUAAAUGGCUGCUGAUGUCGAGACUCAAAAAUCACUUCAAUUUCAAGAUCAAGAUUGAGUUUAUACACUAAUUCUUGCAUUAAUAUCAGUACUACUGCCAUUGAGACCAUGGCCUUCAAGACAUUUCUCUUUGUUUCUCUCGUGAUUGCUGCAAUAUUGGCAGCCCCAGUUGCUGAAGCUCAGCUUGGGCUUAUUGGCGGUCUUCUGGGUUUGAUCCGCAUCCAAGGGACUCUAUUUUGCACUGCCGAUGGCAAUAUUGGUGCUAAUGGCACAGCAACCCCUUUUCCCUAGUAUGCUUGCCCUGAUUCCUCUUCCUUUUCUUUUUUCUUUUCUUUUGAUCGAUAGUAAAGUAUCCUCGGACCAGAUUGUCAUGAUUACAUAGUUACCAUUCAUCACAUACGACAUCGUCGAAUGCAAUUUGACUUUGUUCUUCUUCUUAUCUUGCUUAUAAAGUUGUAAUUACAGUAACGGGUUUUUUCUUGCAGAUGCUCUCGUGCAGUUGCAAUGUGGAGGAAAUGUGGUUUCUACGUCAACCACCAAUGGAUCUGGGAUGUUUUCUAUCUUGUUGGAUCCUCUAAAUUAUAUUCUUUCCUCGGUAUUGAGCGACUGCAACCUGAAGGUCGAUACACCGCUGAUCAGCUGCAACUCCAGUCUCCCUGCUGUGGGUGGCCUCCUAUCACCCUUACAGUUCAUCGGGAACACUGCUCUAGGAGCCCUCCUGAGUGUUGCAAACAUCAUCCCUGCCGGAUUCCGAUUCGUGCCUUUAAAUUAAGGAGACCACUGUAGCUGAAGGCGGCAUUAUUAUUAUUAUUAGUAUGGCCAUUGCUAUGUACUACUUUAUAUGAAUAAGGCUGUUGUAUUAUACGUGUGUACUGUUUAUUGUUUUUUCUUGCUUCCCAAGGAAUAAAGGUCAUGAUUGGCUAUGCAUUAUAUAUAUAUUUUUAUCCAAAUGACUUUUAAUUUUUUAAUUUAUUAUUUAUGGAUAUUUUGAAAGUUGUAGAAUAUAUAUAAGAAACAUAAAUUAAUAUUUAAAAUUACUUUAUCACCAAUAAUAAAUGGAAUAAAAAUAAAAUUCAUAAUAUAAUUAAAAAUUUAGUUAAACUUGCACUAAUGCAAAUAAAUCAAAAUACAAUAAAAAGAUAGAAUUAUGGUGCUUGUUGUGGAGACGAACCAUGAUACUGUGGAUCAACAUAAGAUGAAUUAUGAUAUGAUGGUCGAGGUGUAGGUCAAUAUUGUAAGAGUCUGAAGUGUACAACUCGAUUAAUGUUAAAAGAUCCCAAUAUAUCAUCUUAUUUGAGGGUAAUUUUUUUGUUUUCAUUUCCAAAAAUUUGACAGAGUUUCAUUUGUAUUUUGGACAUCUCAAGUUAUCGACUACUAUCAAUUUACUCAAUCAACCCAUCAUCACAAGGUCCCAUAAUUUUGGACCUUAUAUCAAACCUCAUAAUUCCACACCUCAUACAAUCCACACACAAUAUAUAUAUAUAUAUCUUACGAGUAAGUUCAAUAUGAACAUAGUCCAACACAUCAUAUCAUAAAAUUUAAAAGAAAAGGAAUAAUAACAUGCAAAGAAAGCAUUUACAAUAUAAGAAGUGUUCUUAAAUAUUUCAAAAGGGUUAAUUACAAGAUAACUAAAAUACUACAUGCUCAGCUGAACCUUUGUAAAUAUAUCAAGAUUUACACAAACGUAUACUACAUAAACAUGUUAAUUCCCUUUUAUUUUAAGUUAAAUAUUUACAUAAGCUUCACAAAGUAGAGUCCUAAACUAAUGAUCUUCCUGGAUAUUUGAUGAACCUGUUACAUAAAUAAACAUACCAUUAUGUUGAUAAAGAAUAUAUAUAUAUGCUCAUGUAAUGAAUACAAAUGAAGUAUUAACUUUCUAUUGGAUCCAUAAGAAUAUUAACAGAGAACUUAUAUUUUGCUUGUAAGUCUUUUAAACCCAAUUAACACUCAUUUAUAUACUCUUAAUUUCAAUACUCUAAUUUACUUGCAUGAACUGCAUCACCUUGCAAAGUUUAAUCUUGUAAUUCAUUUCCCGACAAUCCUAUCAUGGAUGCCAUUAGCCGAAGCUAAUCUUGUAAAUCAUCUCCCGGCAAUCCUAUCACGGAUGCCAUUAGCCGAAGCUAAUCUUGUAUUUACGCUAGACUUUAUUUACAUUGAACACAACAUUUAUUGUAAUUGCAUUCACCAGAAGAAUUUUAAAUUGUAUAAGUGCAAAUAAGAGGAAAAUCACGCACCUCCUUUGCUUGUCUCGCGACCUCCCCUAACAGAAGAUCCAAUCCUGGUUGCUCCUCCUGAAUCAUAAUGAAGUUUUUAGUUAUGAUUCCUUCAAGUCGAUAUUAUAGAGAAUCUAUAUUCAUCCAUUACUCAUAUGUUACUUUCUAUGCAUGUUCAUUUUCUCAUAAUAUCAUACAUACAUAUAUCAUGUACAUUUUAAGAGUUAGUAUCUCAAUGUGCAAGUGUUCGUAUGACACAAUUCUUUUAUAUUCUUAUAUAUAGUAUUCACGUGAAAGUGUAUUAUUACUGUCUAACUUUAAACUGUUACUGUCCAAUUUUGAAAUGUUACUGUCCAAUUUUUAACCGUUACUUUCCAAUCGUUACUGUCUAAUUUUGAACUGUUACUGUCCAAACACUCACCAGAUUUUUAACUAUAUCUAAAGUUCUAAAACUUCAUUUUAAGUGACAUUAAUCUCGUUAUAAAGCUAAGACACGAGGCUACAAGUUUUAUGAAGGGAGGAGAGCCUAGUUUUGCCUCUAAGAUAGUCAAAAUUGCUCAUAAAAUAGUUAGUCCUACUGCCCUACAUAAUCAGUCACGACUCAGUCUCAGUUGGUAACCCAUAACUGGAGUUCUACAUCUCCAAGUUGAGCAAGACCAGUUUCCUUGGUUAGCUCACAUUCAAAUCUACAAUUUCUAUGAGAAACCCGAUCCUAAUCCCCUCAUUCUCCUACCCAAAAUCUCAUCGAAAGUUAGGAGACAAGUCUGUCAUUUUUAUUGGUAGGAAAAGGACAGAUUUAGUUAGUCGAUCCACAAUGACCAAGAUUGCAUCAUUUCCCCUCUUUGCUUUGGGUAGUCUCGACACAAAGUCCGUUGUGAUCAUCUCCCACUUCCACUCAGGGAUUGGUAAUGGUUGUAACAGCCCUGCCGGUUUUCGGUGUUCUACUUUUACUUGUUGGCAAAUACUACAUUUUGCCACGUAACUAGCCACUUCUUUUCUCAUAUUUGGCCACUAGUAGUACUGCUUCAUAUCCUUGUAAAUCUUAGUACUACCUGGAUGUACAGUGAACUUAGACUCAUGAGCUUCUCGUAGUAACUUUUGUUUAAGGGCUUUGUUGUCCGGCACAUACAUACGUCCCCCUAACAUCAUUAUUUUAUGAUCACCCAUUCAAAAAAGAGUUUCACAUCCCGAUUCCAGUUUGAUUCUCACUUUUGACACCUCAUCAUCAUGUUGUUGUGCCUUUAAUAUUUUCUCUUGAUAUCCUGACUUCACCCUUAGUUGAGCCAUUAAGGAUCCUUCCAGACUCACAUCUAAUAUUGUCCCCAACCUCUUUAGCUCAAUCAUAGUUUCCUCAUUCCAAGUCGUUGGUCCACCCCUAAUCACCUUGUCUUUACGGCUGAGAGCAUCCGCGACUACAUUCGCUUUUCCUGGAUGGUAAUCUAUAUUAUAGUCAUAGUCUUUAAUUAAUUCUACCCAUCUCCGUUGUCGCAUAUUCAACUCCUUCUACGACAUCAGAUAUUUAAGGCUCUUAUGAUCCGUGAAAAUUUAGACUUGGGAUCCGUAUAAGUAAUGCCUCCAUACUCGUAAAGCAAAAACUACUGCUGCCAAUUCUAUGUCAUAAACUGGGUAAUUGACUUCAUGAGUCUUCAGUUGUCUCGAUGCAUAGGCAACUACUUUUCCAUGCUGCAUUAGAACACAACCUAGUCCUUUUCUUGAGGCAUCACUGUAGACUACAAAGCCUUCUGUUCCGGAUGGAAGGAUUAGCACGAGGGUAGUACUAAGCCUUCUCUUCAAUUCUUGAAAGCUCUCAUCGCACUCCUUUGACCACUCCCAUCUUAUGUUCUUCUUGGUGAGUUGUGUUAAUGGAGUUGCUAUCGUUGAAAACCCUUCGAUAAAUCUUCUAUAAUACCCUGCCAAUCCGAGAAAACUACAAAUUUCAGUUACCUUAGUAGGCCUUUCCCAUCUCAAAAUUGCUUCCACCUUUUGAGGGCCCACAAAAAUGCCUUUUGAAGACACUACAUGCCCCAAAAAGGUAACUUAUUUUAACCAGAAGUCACAUUUAUCCAACUUGGUAUACAACUAGCGGCUCCUCAGAGUCUGUAGUGUCUGUCUCAGGUGCUGUUCAUGCUUCUCAUAGGAUUUGGAGUAAAUCAAGAUGUCAUCGAUAUGAAUACAACAACAAACUUAUCAAGGUAUGGUUGGAAUACUCGGUUAAUUAAAUCCAUAAAAACUGCUCGAGCAUUAGUUAAUCCAAAGGGUAGCACCAAGAACCCAAAGUGAGUUCUGAAGGCAGUUUUUGGCACAUCUUGCCCCUUGAUUUGUAUUUGGUAGUAUCCUAAUCUUAAAUCUAUAUUUGAGAAUACUUUGGCACCCUCAACUGAUUGAAUAAAUCAUCUAUCCGCAGAAGUGGAUUUAUGUUCUUUACCGUCACUUUAUUCAGCUGAUAGUAAUCUAUGCAAAGCCUCAACGUUCCAUCUUUCUUCUUCACAAAUAAUACAGGUGCCCCCUAAGGUGAGUUGCUUGGUCGUAUGAACACUUUGUCUAAAAGCUCCUGUAAUUGAAUUUUCAACUCAUCCAAUUCUUUUAGGGCCAUUCUAUAUGGUGGUUGGGCUAUAGGAGACACCCCAGGCAAUAUAUCUAUGGUGAUUUCAACUUCUCUUUCUGGGGGCAGUCCUGGCAAUUCUUCCAGAAAUACGUCUAGAAAUUCCCUCAUAAUUGGAAUGUCAGAAAUUCUUAUUUUACCAUUUUUCAAAUUUAUCACAUAGGCAAGGUAUGAUGUAAAACCUUUCUUUAGUAGUUUUCUCGCAACCAUACUCGAGAUCAUAUUUGUAAAGUUGGAAAUUUUCUCACCCUUAAAGACCAUUGUUUCACCCUUAGCCCCUUGGAAGGUUACUAUUUUUGUAAAGCAGUCUAGAGGAGCCUUAUUUUUGCCCAACCAAUUCAUACCUAUAAUUAUAUCAAAAUCACUUAAUUCUAUGGGUAUUAAAUAUGCUUUUAGUUCACACCCAUUCAUGUUAAUUCCCACCCCUUCAAAUACAACAUUUGUUUCCACAGUUUCACCCAAAGGUGUCCGAAUAAUAAAUCCUUUCUCUACCCUUUUUGUUUCCUUACUCAAUUUGGCUACAUUUUUAUUUGCUAUAAAAGAGUGAGUGGCACCAGAAUCAAACAAAACAUGUAUUUGAUAGUCAUUCAUUUGCAGCAUACCUGCCACCACAUCUGAUGCUGCUCUGACAUCCUCCUGGGUCAUUUGGAAAACCCUUCCUUGAUCUCUUUCAUUUUGCACUCUGGGUCGUCUCUUAUUUGAGUUAGCUCCUGACUAAGUCGACCUUCUCGGUCUGUUUACUGUGAUAGACUGCUGAUGACUCUGACUUUGCUGCCUAUAUCUCUGAGAUUGUUUAGUGUUUAACUGGGGGCAUUCCCUUUUAAAGUGACCCUUCUCACCACAGUGAUAACAUCCUCUUCCCAAGUACUGACAGGCGUGCCUCCCUCAGUUUCGGCGGUGCGGUAGGCGGUCGGCCAAUGUCUUCAGUCGGUGGGCUAGAGGGACCGGCGGUCGGUGGGCUGGAGGGACCAACGCCAUUAAAUAUACAUCUUUUUUCCUUCUUUACUGCUGUAUGUUAGGCGGGGAAGAAAGGGGAACAAUGCCGUUCAAAACGGCACCGUUUAGCCCUUUUCUGUUUUUUUUUUUUUUGCAUGGGCUGGUUACUGUGCACAUAGUAACCGGGUUACUGUGUGUACAGUAACCAGAGAAUUAAUCUACGGGUUACUGCGCCAGUACUGCGCACAUAUUUUUUUUUUUUUUUUGUAUUUAUUAUUUUUUUAUGGGGACCCAAAAAUGGGUUACAACAGUUGCCCCCCUCUUUACAAUGCUUACGGAGCAAAGAUUUGUGCAUAGUAAGUGUUGUAAAGAAAAAAACAUUGGUCUUCCGAAACUGGUCGUCUCAAAAUUUGAUUGACCUAAAACUUGAAUCGGACCCAAAGUCCUGUGUAUGGUUGGGCUAAACUGAGAUUCCUUUCGCCAAUCCCCUUUAACCCGAAAAAAAGGAAAGAAUGUGAAGUGUGGUCUCAUUGUAAUGGGUGACCUACCCAGAAAAAUGUUGGUGAGGGCUCAAAGGCGCACUCAAAAGGAGGUAGGGUUAGAAAACGCACUACCUAAGGGAUGAGGGCUCAAAAGCGCACUCAAAAUGGAGGUAGGGUUAGAAAACGCACUACCAAAGGGAUGAGGGCUCAAAGGCGCACUCAAAAUGGAGGUGAGGGCUCAAAGACGCACUCAAAAGGAGUUGAGGGCUCAAAGACGCACUCAAAAGGAGUUGAGGGCUCAAAGGCGCACUCAAAAAGGAGGUGAGGGCUCAAAGGCGCACUCAAGAUGGAGUUGAGGGCUCAAAGGCGCACUCAAAGGAGGUAGGGUUAGAAAACGCACUACCUAAGGGAUGAGGGCUCAAAGGCGCACUCAAAAGGCGGUGAGGGCUCAAAGGCGCACUCAAAGGAGGUAGGGUUAUAAAACGCACUACCCAAGGAUGAGGGCUCAAAGGCGCACUCAAUAGGAGUGAGGGCUCAAAGGCGCACUCAAAAUGGAGGUAGGGUUAGAAAACGCACUACCUAAGGGAUGAGGGCUCAAAGGCGCACUCAAACGGAGGUAGGGUUAUAAAACGCACUACCUAAAAGAUGAUGUUGAAACAAUGAUUGUCAAUGUUGAAAAGCAAAUGCAUUAUGAUUGAUAUGCAUAUAUACUUACCUGAGAAAUAUAGGCCCCCAUUUCUUCAUGGUGUCUUUGUUUUCUCUCAAAAGUUGUAGUGUUGGUAGUAAACUUCGAUGGCUUUUCCACUUUUGCUUACUCGGGUUACAUAUUGUGAUCUUGACCUCUGGGAAGGGUUUGACGUCAUCAUACAUCUUUGUCCUUCACCCCAACAAGUAGAGUUACCAAUUUUGCCCGUCAUUUUCCUUAGAACAGGAAUCAUGGAGCCAGCCCUACCAUGUGUUUUUGAUUGCCCCCCAGCUUGAUCAUGCCCCCCAAGUGUUCAACUUGGGUUUAGUUUGGGGUGAGGAUAUGUGAAAGUAAGUUUGGGUUUUUUGUACAAUGAAAUAUUUUCAUGCAAAAUUUUUUGGAACUUCAAAGUUAUGCCAAUCACAAAAAUGAUUUUGAUAUUGGUUCAAAAUAAACUUGUUCUAAAAAUUCAAGUGAUUCCUACGGACAGGUUUCUUGAAGUGAUGAAAGCUUUUUGCUUUUGGUUUAAAGAUGAAGUGACAUCUGGUUGGUCACAAAAGGUUUAAAUUUCAAUUUGAGGGUUAUUGAGAACCGAAUUGAGUCAAAGCAUUUAUUUUAUUCGCAUGAAUAAUGAUUUGACUUGCACGAGAAAACACUGCAUAUCGAUCCAGAUUGCUUGCCUUUGAUCAGAAAGGGCUUUAUCAGGUAUGUAAUGUAGGCUUUGGCUAUUGGUUACGAAGAAAAUGGAUAUGUUGCAGGCUCAAAAAGGUGUUUAAGGGAUUUCAAGAUUAGGGAUCACUUGUGCUUGUUUCCUGACCUUUUGUCUUUUGGAUUUGUUGUUUUCAAAAUAGUCUUCAUGCCCCCCAGUGUCGGGUUUGGGCUUUUCUCUUUGUUUUCUUCGUUUUUGUUUGGUUGAGCACAAUCAUAUCAGUUGUUUGUAUGAGAAGCUCAAAUCUUUUAGAUCUUCUUUUCUUUUCUUACAUGAUCAAUUCCAGCACUCAUCUUCACUGCUUUGUCUGGAUGGUAAAAAUAACAAACUCUCUUAUUUUGCCCCCCAGUGUGGGGUGUGAUCCUAGUCAAGGUUAUUUCAAAAAAUAUUACUAGGCUCAAAAUGGGACUGCAAAGGAUAUUUUAGCCUUGUGAAAGGAUUAUCAAAGAUGGCCUUUCCUCAUCUCAAACUCAUGCAUUGAGGAUCGAUAGGUGUUGCUUUCAUGCGCGUAUGCAAAGUGAUUUAUUCAGUCAAAUAAAACUCAGCUUUUGAGUCACCUCAUAGUGUUGUUUGUCUUUAUUGUCUUUUUUUCUUUCAAGUUUUCUAGGUAUAUGUGUACCUAUUUAAGGAAUCACUUGAAUUUUCAAAAUGCAUUUGUUUUGGACAAAUAUCAACACGAUUUUUGUUUUUGUACUCACUUUGGAGGUCCCAAAAAAAAUCCUUGAAAACAUAUGAGAUUAAUGUAUGGGUUUGGAAGAAAGGAACACCAAAGGAUUCUUCAUGUUGUAGUGUUGUGAGCAAAGUUGCGCUCAAAAUGUUAUUUACAUAUAAUAACAACAAAGAAGAGUGUGAUGUGAACACAAGAAAACACAUGAUCUUAUUUCACAAGAGAAGCUCAUUAACAGAGAAAGUCUUAUUCAAAAGCAUUAACAAAAGGAAAUAACAAGGCAGGCUUCAUUCCUCUAUUUUGGCGAAUCUGUUCAUAGGCUAAACUCUUCUUAAAAGCUCUGCGUAGAGGACUCAAAGACAAUGCGGAACAACACCCCGGUCAAAAAUUCAAGCUAUCAUGCUGGACCAUUGAUGCUUUCCAAUUCCCCAAACAUUCCAUCCUAAUAUGCUUCAAGCAUGAUUAGGCAGCGGGUUCGUAUUCACAUUGGGGGUGUCUUCCAACUCUAUCCAACCAGCCUUGAUUAAUUGCAGAAGCUUUCUCUUGAAGGCGUUGCAGGUAUAGAUGCUAUGCCCAGUAAUACCGGCAUGGUAUUCACAUUUGAGUUCUGGCUUGUACCAAUUAGGAUAAGGUGGCUGCAGAGGUGUUAGAGGUUCUGGAGCUAUUUGCCCAAUGCUCAAUAGCUUUUGAUACAUCUCAUUCAGGGGUAAUGGUAGUGGAGGCAGUUGUUCUUGAACCCUUUGGAAAUUUCCAAUUUGGCUUUUGGCUUGAAAGUUUUGGGGUUUAGGUUUUUGGAUGUUGGCAAUUUGGGAUGGAGUAUGGUAAUUUUGGGAUGUAUUAUUUUUACCCAUGUAGCCAUCUUCAACAUGGUGAACCUCUUUUCUUUCGAAGCCUCUUUUCUCGGUUGGUGCAGAAAUUCUACCACUCUUGACACCUUGCUCUAUGCGUUCACACACUAUCACGGCAUCAGUGAAUUGUUGGGCUGAACUACCCAUCAUAUGUUCGUAAUAUGGUGCUUUGAGUGUGUUGGCAAAUAAAGAGACCAUCUCUUUGUCCAGAAGUGGGGGAUGUACUUGAGCAGCUAAUUCUCGCCAUCUUUGAGCAUAUUCCCUUAUGCUUUCUUUAUCCUUUUUCUCUAUAUUGGACAAACUGGUUCUGUCGGGCGCAAUGUCCAUGUUGUAUUUGUAUUGCUUGACGAAAGCAUCCACAAGAUUUUUCCAGUUGCGAAUUUUUGUGUUAUCCAAUCUCAUGUACCAACUCAAAGUUGCCCCACUUAAACUGUCUUGGAAAAAGUGCAUUAGUAGUUUUUCAUCAUGUACUACCUCAGCCAUUUUAUUGCAGUAGGACCUGAGAUGAGUCAUGGGGCAUUGUGUUCCACUGUAUUUGAUGAAUUCAGGAACACGAAAUUUCUUUGGGAUAACCACGUUUGGGACCAAACACAUCUCUGCUGCCCGUACCGGGUCAUAUAAGUCUACCCCUUCAAUGGCUUUGAGUCUGGCUUCCAGCGCCUCUAUCUUAGCUUGAUCAAUGCUAUCAGAUGACUUAGCCUUGUGGGACUCAUUAGCAGAUGCCUUCACAACUGUUGGGGAUGGUGCAGGUGUCGUUGACUGCACAAAUGUUGGAUUUUGCUGAGGUUCUUGACCAUGUUCGCUCAUUCUUUCCUCAGGCUGAACUGAAGUAGGAGCCGGAUCAAAGGUGAUCGGUUGAUUAGAAGGACCUUCAUCAGAGGUAUUUCUUAGUGUUUGCUUGAGUAAGCUAGUGAGGUGAGCCACACUUAUUUUCAGAGACUCCAACUCCUCGUGCAAAUAGGCAUCACGUUGAGCACGCUCUUCAUCUUCCAUGUUUCUUGCUCGAAGUCGGGUGUUGUAGACUUUUUGGGGACCUAUAUUUCAAUCUGACAUGUAUGCAUGUUAAAUGUAUGAACAUGUAAUCUAUAUGACGAACUCGCCCUUCGAGGGGUGACAUAUGGUCGCAACUCUUGUAUGAUGAAACAAGAAUCUUGAUUCUUGCACAAACUCUACAAUGAAAAUUUUCUGAGCGACGGUUAUUGUGUCACCCAUAAGUCUGGAGUUCAAGAAGGGCUUGCUCGGAUGCAAAACAAUGUGUACGGAGCAUACAUCCUAAAGGCAGGUUCUAAUAUUUUUAAGUGAGACAAAAGGUAGGUUUACUAUUUGGUCUCUAAAAAAGGACUCUCGUUGUCCCAGUGAUCGCCCUCGUGGAGGCAAUAUGGGGGCUUGUAGGCAGUGAGAUGGCACGUGUCCAACUAUUACCAGUCUAAGCACUCAACGAAGAGUUGGGGUUUACACAAACUUAAACCUUGACUAAAAGUCAUAAGGUAAGCUGCUAGUUCCCCCUAACCUGAAGCUUGUGUGUGCUUAAAAAAAAUUAACUAUGUGAUGCAUGAGAUAAAUAUGUACAAAAAUUAAAGCGCACAACUAAAUAUGAACAAAUAUAUAAAGAAAAUGCAUAUUUAAAAAUAAACACGCAAACCAAACAAUAAAACACAAUCAUCAACAAAAAACAAAGCUUAGUCACAAAGUCCCCAGUGGAGUCGCCAUUCUGUCGCACGUGUGCGCGGCGCGGCGAUCGUCCACCCUCAAGGAAAAAAUGGAAAAAUAUUUAUUCCUGGCAAAUAGGGAGAGAUAAGGAAUUCUUGUCUCUACAAGUGCAAAUAUGGACUGGGAGUCACCACCUAGUAUUCUGGUUACUAGGAACCCUAACUGGUCUUUAGAGAUCGGGUACGAAGACUGGUUGCGUAAAGGGAAGGUAUUAGCACCCCAACUACGCCCUACCUAAGGUAGGCUGCAUUGUUUUGUCUGAUAAAAUCUAAGGUCGUGUUGUGGUUUCUUAUUGUUCGGAAUACGCAUUACAUGUAAUGUCAUACCCCAGGUUCUAUUGUCCAAAAAAAAGAAUUAAAUAUCCGGAAUAUGCAUUACGUGUAAAGUCAUACCCCGGAUACUAAGAGAAACAAAAUAAAAUUUUUGUUGUUUUUGAAAUAUUGGCCAAUAUUCUCUUGACUUUAAUAAACUGGUUAUUAAAGCCAAAAUGCAUGCUAAAACAUUUUUUUUUGUGUAUGAAAAAAAUACAAUAUGAAUUUUUAGCUUUGAGACACUUGGCCGUAUGCACAAAAACAUUUUUUUUUCUUUUUUUAAUUUUUUGUAUUUUGUGGAAGUUUUUUUUUUUUUUACGAAAACCGGGUAUUUGAAAAAUCAGAUUUUUGUAUUUUUAACAACAUAAAAAAAUACCAUCAAAUAUUAAUCGAAAUGACAUAAAAAUUACACUAAAAAAAUUAUAAAAUACUGAAACAAAUAUUUUUGAUUUUUUUUCUUUGAAAUGGGCCGGAUCAGGCCCAAAUAUAUGGGUUGGGCCGAACCUGGCCCAAAGAAUGGGCUGGUCACUGUGCACAUAGUAACCGGGGGGUGCUGUACACACAGUGACCACAGAAUUAAUUAGCAAUGCACAGUAACCGGGGGUUACUGUGCACACAGUAAUGUGAAUUAAUUAGUGCACAGUAACUAGCUAAUUAAUUCUGCAGGACGUAAACGUUCUGCAUGAAUUGAAGCAAAAAAAAUGACGGGAAAGGUAGGACGUUACCUGGAGCUGUUGAUGCUGGCAGCAGCUGAUGCAGCAGGGGUGGCGGCGGCGGCGCUGGCGGUUCGCGGUGGCCGGUGGUUUUUCUUCUCUCUCUCUCCUCUGUUUUUUCCCGUUUUCUUCUCUGCCUCUUCCCUUCUUCUUCUCUGCCUUCUCUCCUCUCUUCUCACUCUAUUCUCCCUUCUGUUACCUCUUCUGUUCCCUCUCUCUGUCUGUCCUCCUUCCUCCUCUCUUCUCCUCCAUUUAUAGCCCGUGAGCAUGCGUUUUUUUUUUUUUCAUCGUGGGGUCAUGCGGCGGCUGGUCGGGCGUGGCUGUCCGGGCGUGCCUCCCUCAGUUUCGGCGGUGCGGUAGGCGGUCGGCCAAUGUCUUCAGUCGGUGGGCUAGAGGGACCGGCGGUCGGUGGGCUGGAGGGACCAACGCCAUUAAAUAUACAUCUUUUUUCCUUCUUUACUGCUGUAUGUUAGGCGGGGAAGAAAGGGGAACAGUGCCGUUCAAAACGGCACCGUUUAGCCCUUUUCUGUUUUUUUUUUUUGCAUGGGCUGGUUACUGUGCACAUAGUAACCGGGUUACUGUGUGUACAGUAACCAGAGAAUUAAUCUACGGGUUACUGCGCCAGUACUGCGCACAUAUUUUUUUUUUUUUUUUUUUGUAUUUAUUAUUUUUUUAUGGGGACCCAAAAAUGGGUUAUGGGUUACAACACCAAGUACUGACAGGUUUUCCACUUAUGACCUUCUCCUCGACAUAUAUAGCAUCGUCCAGGAGAAACCAUACAACUCCCGGGGUGUCUUUGUUCACAUUGAGCACAUCAAGGGUAGCCAAUUUCAAUAUGAUCAUUAUGCCCCUUUGUAGCUAUAGCCCUGGAAUGGGUUUGACCACUUCCUGACCUCCCACCGAUAUCCUUUUGGAAACUAGUUGACGUCCCCCCUUUCUUUUUGAAUUGAAGGAAUUGUUCGGCUCUACCUUUCUUUGGAAGUGGUGGCCUGCCUAAAAGUUCCAUAUCCUUUCGUUUUCCUGCACCCCUAUGACUCUAUUGGCCUUCUUCCAUACAAGCCUCCAAGGCCUGUGCUGCUUCAAUCAGUUCCCUUACUGUCCUGAAUUGCAAAGAAAUCAACCCCUGCUUCAAUUCUUGUCUGAAGCCAUCCCUUAACUUUUCUAUCAUGUGUUGUUCUGAUGGGACAUAAUGUGGUGCGAAUAGUGAGAGGUCAUGAAAUCAUCUCUCAUACUCAAGUACUGACAUUCCUCCUGUCUCAAGGCUAGGAAUUCUUGUUCCUUCAUCUUCCAAUGAUAUUUGGAGUAAUAGUGAUUCUCAAACUCUAUCUUGAAAUCAUCCUAGGAUAGGGUUUCUGUAGCCCUCCUCAACUGAACUGUCUCUCACCAAGUCAUAGCACCGUCUAAUAGUAAUUGAGUAGCACAAUCUACCCGUAAAUAAUGUGGUAUCUGAAUUUGAAUCAUGGUUUUUUCCACCUUUCUAAUCCACCUUCCCGCCACUUCAGCAUUAUAUUCAUCUAAGUAGGGUUCACAACCCAUUUCUCUCAUACUUUUCACCAAACGAACUAGUUGUACCACGUCAUUGGUAGCUAUAACUGCUUCUAAAACGGUUUGUAUGAUGGGUGCUGUUGCAAUAUCGCGGUCGCACAAAUUAAUUACCCUAGCUUCAAACACAACACACAAGAUAGUAUAGAGCAAGCAAGGGGUCAAUCCCAUGAGGAAGGUUCAAGUCAGAUUUUUAUGCUAGAUGAUAUGCAAUUUGGGGGGGGGGGGUUGGACGUUAUCUAGGCUAAAGCAAAAGAAAACAGAAAACUAUCAAACAAAUUUAAUAAAAUCAGAAAAUUAUCAAGAGAACAAACCUUAGUCGCAAGCACACAUCCACCUAUAGAAAUCAGAACUGAUCAUGGAAACGAAACAUCAAUUUAUAUUUUGAAUAUUUAUCUCUUCUUAACAUUGGUUAGUUAACGGAUCCGCCGUAUAACUAACGCUAACCAUCAAACAACCAUAGUGUCCGCACUAGUAAUUUAAUUCAAUGGCAGCCUUAAGAACUAGAUAAGUUUAUUAAUCAAGAAAACAUAAUUGUCCGUAGUCUAUUUUGAUUUGAUUGAAUGUUCUCCCUAAGAUUAAUAAUGUAGAUCCACCACAAUUAUUAAACUCAGUUGCUUCACAAGUUCAUAUACCAUAACUCCGGUUUUGAUAUCAAACUUAGCAAUAGAUUGUCUACAAUAAAAACUUAGAGUCCGCUCUAGCAAUUAAAAUAAACAAUCAUAGGAAAAAAAGCAUAGGAGAACAAACAUAUUCAUCAUAUAAACUGAAAAGAAAAGGUAAAAUAAAUCUCACAGUUCUUAAAAUCCGAAGGUUUCCAUGUCCUUGCAACCAAGAAAACGAGUUUAGCCUUGCAUGUUUGUUGAAUAACUAAUCAAAAAGAUGGAGGAAUGCAUGAUUUCGGGUUUUUAGAGAAGGGGGGGCAUUUUUCUCCUCUUGGCUAAUUGCCCCCUUCUCUUCUCUCAUUCUUUUUAUAUCAUAUGAAACCCUAGUCUCUAUUUUACAAAAUAAUCCUCUCUUAAGUAGACUAUUUACAUUUAAGUACUUCAAUAAUUAUUUUUCCUAAAAAAGAAGAAAUAGUCUAGCAUGAAAUAUUCAAGCUUUGACUUAGAGGAGCUAAAUUGCUAAAAUAAAAACUUGGAUAUUGGUUUAGAUGCUCCGGAACGUAAUUUGGACUCGUUUCUUCACGAAACCUAUUUGCUGGCAGAAUUCAGUUGUCAUCUUUGAAAAAUCAUAUCUACCUCAUAUGACAUCGUUUUUUGCUGAACUUUGGAGCGUUUAUAGGUCUUUGAGUCAGGAAUCCAACACAAUUUAGUUUUUAUCAAUUGGACUUUUGUAGCUUUAGAUAUUCAAGUCGGAAUGACCAAAGGUCAACACUGGCAGAUUGCGAGAUUUGACUUUGAAAGCUGCGAUUUCCAUGCUCUUCCUUAUUUUAUUGUCUUGCUUAGAUAUCCAGAAAGGUAUGGAUGUUAGCUUUUUAAUUCCACUAGAAUCACUUCAUUUUGACUUUUAGAGCUCAUGCUCUGCACAAAACAUCGAUUGAAGGUCAAAUAUGUCAAUUACCUCCAAUUUACUCCUUUUUGCAUCUUUCAUCCAAAAGUGCCUUCAAAACAUAAAACAAAGAAUAUCAAGGCAUUUUAUAUAUAAAACAUAUGCAAAACACUAGUUAAGUGUGGGUGAAACUAUCGAAUAAUAUGGUUGCAUCAGGUGCAGGUGGGGGUGCUGGCAUAGGAGUGGCAGCAUUAACCAUACCUUCCAUUACUGCUUUGACUAACUGGGCCAGGAACAUCGGAUCAACAUAAGAAACAUAUGGCCUUGCAGGUGUAGUCUAAGGGGGCUCCUCUACUCGUUCCCGUGGGGCUGAAAUGGUCGGUUGAACAUCCCCAGUUUGCCUUGAUGCCUGUCUAAUUUGAGGCCCCGUCGAUUCUUCAUGCCCUGCUUGAGUCGAUACUACCGAUGCAUGUGAAGCAUUAUCUUCCAAAGGGCUCUCUUCUUGCCCCUCAGAAAAGUCUAUAUCUCUAUUCCCCCUCCUUGUAGAGGAUAAAUCUAUUCUAAUCUCUUGACGGGUACGUACCAUCCUGCAAUAAAUUAAUGAACAUCAACAACCUCUUUUGAUUUCUUACCCGAACCUAUACCACGACUCUGAUACCAACUGUAACAGUCCAAAGUGUACGACUUGAUUAAUGUUAAAAGAUCCCAACAUAUCCUCUUUAUUUGAGGGUAGUUUUGUUUUUCAUUUCCAAAAAUUUAGCAGAGUUUCGUUUGCAUUUUGGACAUCUCAAGUUAUCGACUUUUAUCAAUUUACUCAAUCAACCCAUCAUCACAAGAUCUUAUAAUUCUGGACCUUAUAUCAAACCUCAAAAUUCCACACCUCAUACAAUCCACACAAUAUAUAUAUCCUACGAGCAAGUUCAAUAUGAACAUAGUCCGACACAUCAUAUCAUAAAAUUUAAAAGAAAAGGAAUACUAACAUGCAAAGAAAGUAUUUACAAUAUAAGUGUUCUUAAAUAUUUCAAAAGGGUUAAUUACAAGAUAACUAAAAUACUACAUGCUCAGCUAAACCUUUGUAAAUACAUCAAGGCAUACACAAAAGUAUACUACAUAAACAUGUUAAUUCCUUUUUGUUUUAAGUUAAAUAUUUACAUAAGCUUCACAAUGUAGAGUCCUAAACUAUUGAUCUUCCUGGAUAUUUGAUGGACCUGUUACAUAAAUAAACAUACCAUUAUGUUGAUAAAGAAUAUAUAUAUGCUCAUGUAAUGAAUACAAAUGAAGUAUUAACUUUCUAUCGGAUCCAUAAGAAUUCUAACAGAGAACUUAUAUUUUGCUUGUAAGUCUUUUAAACCCAAUUAACACUCAUUUGUACACUCUUAAUUUGAAUACUCUAAUUUACUUGCAUGAAAUGGGUGACCUUGCAAAGUUUAAUCUUGUAAUUCAUUUCCCGGCAUUCCUAUCACGGAUGCCAUUAGCCGAAGCUAAUCUUGUAAUUCAUAUCCCGGUAAUCCUAUCACGGAUGUCAUUAGCCGAAGCUAAUCUUGUAAAUCAUCUCCCGACAAUCCUAUCACGGAUGCCAUUAGCCGAAGUUAAUCUUGUAUUUACGCUAGACUUUAUUUACAUUGAACACGACAUUUAUUGUAAUUGCAUUCACCAGAAGAAUUUUAAAUUGUAUAAGAGCAAAUAGGAGGAAAAUCACGAACCUGCUUUGCUUGUCUCGCAACCUCCCCUAACAGAAGAUCCAAUCCUGGUUGCUCCUCCUGAAUCAUAAGGAAGUUUUUGGUUAUGAUUCCUUCAAGCCGAUACUAUAGAGAAUCCAUAUUCGUCCAUUACUUAUAUGUUACUUUCUAUGCAUGUUCAUUUCCUCAUAAUAUCAUACAUACAUAUAUCAUGUAUAUUUUCAGAGUUAGUCUCUCAAUGUGCAAGUGUUCGUAUGACACAAUUCUUUUAUAUUCUUAUAUAUAGUAUUCACGUGAAAGUCUACUAUUAGUGUCUAAUUUUCAACUAUUACUGUCCAAUUUUUAAUUGUUACUGUCCAACCGUUACAGUCUAAUUUUGAACUGUUACUGUCUAAUUUUCAACUAUUACUGUCCAACCGUUACUGUCUAAUUUUGAACUGUUACUGUCCAAACACUCAUCAAAUUUUUAACUAUAUCUAAAGUUCUAAAACUUCAUUUUAAGUGAGAUUAAUCUCGUUAGAAAGCUAAGACACGAGGCUACAAGUUCUCUGAAGGGAGGAGAACCCACUUUUGCCUCCAAGAUAGUCAAAAUUGCUCAUUAAAUAGUUAGUCGUACUGCCCUACAUAAUCAGUCACGACUCAGUCUCAGUUGGUAACCCAUAACUAGAGUUCUACAUCUCCAAAUUGAGCAAGACCAGUUUCCUUGGUUAGCUAACAUUCAAAUCUACAAUUUCUAUGAGAAACCCGAUCCUAUCCCCUCGUCCUCCUACUCAAAAUCUCAUCGAAUGUUAGGAGACAAGUCUAUCCAGGUUCGUCUCCCCCCUCCCCUUACACAAUACUUUCAUAAACUACAUACCACACACAUAAAUGAACUUAAUCUCAACAAUAAGUACUUUUUCCCCAAUUUAUGUCUAAGAACCCUAACCUAUGAUUCAAUAUCAAGGCAUCAAUUCUUUAUCGAAUUAAAAAAAAUAAAUUUUUUUUAAGAUCAUGUUUAGAAUACCUUACUCGGUACAAAUUACGAUUUUGAUCUUCAACCAGUAGAAGAUUUUCAACUCCCUCCUUUCUUUUCUUCUUGGUAAUCAUUUGCUCUCAAGUGUUUAUCCCAUCUAUAAGCUCUUAAUCUUGCAUGGGUUCUUGAAAUUUUAGUGUUUCUAUCUUGAUUUCUCAAGAAGGGGUAUAAAACUCCCUAUCUUCUCUCCUUAUGGUUCCUAUAGAUUUUUUUGGUGAGUAGAGAGUAUUGAUACUCUAUAUUUUCCUUUAUUUGCAUUUAGGCCCCCAUUUUUAUUUAAGUGUAUUAUUCUCUUCAAUUAAAUCCAACCCUUAACAGUACCAGGUUUAUUAUAAUGUCUCUAAUUAUUUCAUCCGGAAAUUUAUAUUCAAAAAUUUCUGAAUUUCUAUUUUUAUUUAAUGAUAUGCAUGAAUUUCUUCACUUUUACUUAUUUAUUAUAUAUAUAAUUUUUUUAUCCCGGGGUUUACAAAUAUAUUGGUGGAGAUGUGGGAUCCAUAGGUGUCAUUAUCUGGGGAGCCAUAUGUGGCGGCAUUAAUGGGGCCAUAGGUGCUGGCAUACCUUGGCCAAUGUUUGAUGUCUCACCAUGAUAUCCAAGAUUGUUCAUAAGAUAAUCUUUCAUAGAAUCCAUUUGUUGUUUCAUUUCAAAAAUAAAAUCAUCUCUUUUCUUUAUCCCGCUUUGUUUUUCUUUAUCUCUUUUUGCAAUGCUCGAUAAGAUGAAUUAGGAUAUGGUGACUUCACCGAGUAGGAAUGUGAUGAAGAACUUGUAUUCACUAUAGAUUUUGGCAUACGAGGUGCACAUUAUACCCUACCCUAUUGUAACUCCUCCUGAAGCCACACACCAAGCUGCUCCAUCAAAUGAAGGAUGAUUUUCCCGAUUAGUUCCAUACUUUGAAAUCAUCUCCUUAUCAUUUUCCUAAAAAUAAAAUACAUGCAAUAAUAAAUUCAUUUGAAUGUCAAAUAAUAUUUAAGUUAUAUAAAUAAAUAAAUAAAAUUACAUACAAUCACUUUUUUAGACUUGCUGUCUACAAAGAUGCUAGACUGCUUAGUACUCUGAUGCAAAGCUGAAAAGACAUCAUCUCAUGAAGGUUUUUUUUCUACCAAGUUGCUCUUGCUAGGAAUUAUGAAAGAACAUGUCCUUCAUGAACUCUCACAAGUCUCUCACCAUUUUAACGAUCUCUUGUAUUGUUCUGUGUAAUUCAACACCUUCGAUUCAGACCUAGAUUUCAGGUAGAAAUCUUGAUGUGAAAAACAAAAUUAGGGUUCUUUUUAUAUAUACCUUUACAGAUUUGUUUUGAAGUGAAAAUGGAACAUAAUUAUUCAGACUACUAAAAUUAUGGAACUAGUAAGGCCUUAAUGGCAUUGAACUAGACAUGGGAGAGAUUUAAAUGCAUGGUCCCUGCAUUCUUGAUUAUGUUUAAAAACGUCCUCGUCCCUUUUUACCUCACUUUUUCUAGUUUUGAUCAAGUCUUUCCAUUUCGUUAUGUUUCGUCUGGAAUGGCCGAGACAUUUCAUACGUAUUCAAAAAACAGAACAAUUUUCAUCUCAUUUCAAAUCUCGGUCCGUUCUGAAUUUUUUGGCUAAAUUUCAGCCGGAAUGUUUUGCUUUUAUUCCACAUAUUCCAUUCUAGUAUUGAAAAGCUAUUGAAUCAAAUUGAACCUGGUUCAAUUUAAUUAAUUAAACCACCCAAGUAUAAAAAAAAAAUUUAUUACUAUUUUCAAUAAAAAUGAUAUUAAAAAUAAUAUUAAAAAUUAUUAUUACUAUUUUCAUUUACAAUGAUAUUAAUUUUUUAAAAUUAGAUUUAUCACUAAUAUAUAUGGUUUAUAUUCAUGUUUUUUUUUUCAUAUUUAUACUAUGUAGGAAUUUGAGCAAAACAAGGGAUGCUUUAGAUCCCAUUAGUCUUGAUAACGUUGACUUAACUUUAUAUUUAAAAUAUUUGUGUUAAAACAUUUCUUUCAUAAUAUUUUGAUAUUUUGUUUAAGUUGAAUUACUUUAAGUUAAAGAUCUAUUUAAUUUUGAUUAUUUAGAAAUAUUUUAAAAUUUGAAAUUUUAUUUGUUUGACAUUGUGUUUGUAUUGCAUAAUUUAUAAUUAAUUUAUCUUGAAUUUUAAUGAUGUUUGUUGAAUAUGUAUAUAUGAACAAUAUAACUCCAAAACGGCAUGCCGAAACACUCUGAAACUGAAACAUUCCAUUCCAAUUAAAAAAAAACCCACCUACCGGAACAGAAUUGACAACCUUGGUUUUGAUUGUAUUUCCAAUUCAAAUCGUAAUUUAUAUGUAUGAAAAGAACUUUUUUUGCCAUCAUUUUUUUUUCUUCUGCGUUCCAUUAUUAUUUCUUUUCAAUUUUUAUAAUUUUUAUUGUAUAAUUCAAAUUUUGUUAGUGUUAUGAUGUUGUAGACUUCACGAUAAUAUUUAACAUCAUUAACAUGUAAUGAAGAUAAAAAUCAAACCUGCAAAGAUUAAAAUUAGUGCAAAAACAUGUAGAACAUUUUAAACACAAAACCAAGAAUACGUAACUUAAUUGAACAAUUAAGAGUUGGAAUACCUGAAUUUUAAUCCCUUGUCCUAAAAAAAUAAAUAAAAAGUGGAAUUAGGGGUAGCAAUAGAUAACUAACAGAGUUUUAUAUCAGGGAUGAUAAUUUAAUCUGAACUCGAUAGAUACCAACCUGAUUUGAAUGAAUGGAUGAAUAUUUUUUGUACUUGAUGGAUAAUGGAUAGAGUAUGGAUGUUGUGAAACACGACCUGAAACCUAUCCAAACCUAAAGUGGAAUAUAUUUGUAUAUUAUAUAAGUAUAUUUGUAAAAUACUUAGAUUUUUUAAUAGAAUAUGAUACAUACAUAUCUUGGUAUUGACAUAAUACACACUUAUAUAUAAACUAUUUUAUUUUUUAUUGAUUAAUAAAUAAUAGUAGAUAAUAAAUAACUAUUUGAUACCUGAAAUCCGAUGGAUAAUGAGUAGAGUAUGGAUAUCAAGAAAUCCAACCCGCGAGUAUGCAUUGUCAUCCCUGCUUUAUACUAUCUAUACCCGAAUUCAAAUCUAAAAUAACUACUCGAGCCUGAACGGGUAUGGGUUUUUGAUACCCGAACUUGAAUGCUAUAUUUUACAGCUAUUAGUACAUAAUUAGCUUGCCAUACAUGUAAUUUUCUCAAACUUUAAUGUUAUUUAUUUAUUUCAGGGCAGGUUCGGGGAGAUCAAUAUCCAUACUCUACGCGUACCUGACUUUUUGCAUUUGAAUUUUACUCGAAACUCGAUUGAGUCUAAAAAUUUUCUAUUUGAAUCGAUUCGAGUUAGUAUUCAUAGGUAAAACUGUCAUCAUAAGUAUAAUCCAAAUACCAUAAUCUUUGGCAAUGAUAUGCUUUGCUAUUAGUUCUACCAUGACAACUAACAAAACUAUCACACCCAACAAAAAAAGCUAUGAAAUCCUGUUAAAGAAUUAUCUCAAUCCAAUAAUUUAAGUUGUUAUGUAAGGUUCCAAGAUAUAAUUUAUAUUAUUCUCUAACAUCCCCCCUCAAGUGAAAGUCAUUUGGACUCGAAACUUGCACAAACUCAUAUUAUACUGUGCUUACUUUUAUAGAAUAAAUAGGAAUGGUAAGAUUCGAAUUUAUAAUUACUUGAUCAUCAAGACUCUGAUAACAUGUCAAAUAAUCAUUUCAACCUAAUUACUUAAAUUGUUAGAUAAAAUUUCUAAAUAAAUCUGAUAUUAUUCUAUAAUAAAUCUGAUAUUAUUUGUGUAAGGGCAUAUUAGUGCCCUCACAGAGAAGCUAAGUAGAGUGGCGAGAACCGGACGACGGAAAGAGUUGGAAGAAAAAAGGCUAGAAGCUAGAUGCUAGAGCAUGAAGCUAUGGACCAAUCUAUGAACUUUUAAGAGCAAGUGGAGACGAACAAUUCUAUCGGAGAACCCCCAAGUUUCAGCUACGCAGAGCAAGUUGUUGUUUGGAGCCCCUUCUACUUUAUAAAUUCUGAAGAGGCAAGAAAAAGAAGACUUUCAUCUUUUUUCGAGAGACAGAAGGCAUGCUAAUGAAACUAGGGGUGGGGGAGUUUGUAGGUGAAGACCACAGAUGAAGCACACACGGGGAAGGAAGAAUUAGAGCUUCGUGACAAACCUAAGAUUUUUGAAUUGUUCUCUUUCUUUUCAUGGUCAUGCAGCAGAUUAUCCUACGUAAACUCACCAUCACCACAAACAAGGAAGAGAUAAGAGAGCUGUUAGUCAGCAAAAUCUGCUGCAACUUGGUCUCCCUUGUUCUAUAAAUGGCUGCUGAUGUCGAGACUCAAAAAUCACUUCAAUUUCAAGAUCAAGAUUGAGUUUAUACACUAAUUCUUGCAUUAAUAUCACUACUACUGCCAUUGAGACCAUGGCCUACAAGACAUUUCUCUUUGUUUCUCUCGUGAUUGCUGCAAUAUUGGCAGCCCCAGUUGCUGAAGCUCAGCUUGGGCUUAUUGGCGGUCUUCUGGGUUUGAUCCGCAUCCAAGGGACUCUAUUUUGCACUGCCGAUGGCAAUAUUGGUGCUAAUGGCACAGCAACCCCUGUUUUCCCUAGUAUGCUUGCCCUGAUUCCUCUUCCUUUUCUUUUUUUUUUUCUUUUUUUUUUCUUUUGAUCGAUAGUAAAGUAUCCUCGGACCAGAUUGAUUGUCAUGAUUACAUAGUUACCAUUCAUCACAUACGACAUCGUCGAAUGCAAUUUGACUUUGUUCUUCUUCUUAUCUUGCUUAUAAAGUUGUAAUUACAGUAACGGGUUUUUUCUUGCAGAUGCUCUCGUGCAGUUGCAAUGUGGAGGAAAUGUGGUUUCUACAUCAACCACCAAUGGAUCUGGGAUGUUUUCUAUUUUGUUGGAUCCUCUAAAUUAUAUUCUUUCCUCGGUAUUGAGCGACUGCAACCUGAAGGUCGAUACACCGCUGAUCAGCUGCAACUCGAGUCUCCCUGCUGUCGGUGGCCUCCUAUCACCCUUACGGUUCAUCGGGAACACUGCUCUAGGAGCCCUCCUGAGUGUUGCAAACAUCAUCCCUGCCGGAUUCCGAUUCGUGCCUUUAAAUUAAGGAGACCACUGUAGCUGAAGGCGGCAUUAUUAUUAUUAUUAGUAUGGCCAUUGCUAUGUACUACUUUAUAUGAAUAAGGCCGUUGUAUUAUUUGUGUGUACUGUUUAUUGUUUUUUCUUUCUUCC
rnacentral:lncRNA from 1 species